rnacentral:lncRNA from 1 species
CUCCCAACCCCCAUGAAGAAUCACAGGUAUUCCCUGGUGGGGAAAGAGGUUCUGGAUCCUCCACACAUCCACUUGAUUUUCUGAGGCACUUGGUGAGGGUGGGGCCAGGGAGUGGGAAGAGAUGGAGGCACAGGCCACCCUCUGCCCCCUUGUGUCCCCAUGAGGUGUCAGGCAAGCAGUGAGGGUGGCCAUUGUGUGGGCUGGGGUGUGAUGCCCCUAGGGUCCUGCAACCUCCCGGUUCCAAUGACUGUAGUAUGGCAACAGCUUGUGUGGAUUCCUCCUUCUUCACUCCGUCUCUGCUCCCCAAAAUCCCCUCUGAUGCAGGGACAGGGAGAAGAUGUGAGACCUGCCAGGUAGGUGCUGCAGGGCUCAAAUCUGCCAGCUCACAUUCCUGUCCUGCGACCUCCCGCCUGCCCAUCUAGUCAGCAGAUGGAAGCCUGCCAUUUGUGAAUUCUGUGAACCCUGGUUGUUUUUUUCUUCUCUUUCCCAGUAAGGGUGGCUGAAGUUAGGGUGAUAGGACUAGAUGAUCUUUAGGACAAGUAGCCCUCUCCCUUGACCCACAGUGGCAACACGUAGAGAAACAUCAGUGUUUCAAGCAGUCGGCUGGAAAGCACACUGGGAACUUAGCAAUAUUUGGUCAGCCAACACCCAAGGCUCCUUUCAACCCUAAGAAGGUGAGUGGAAGGUGAGUCCAAUCCCGAGCAUUCAAAUAAAUGCAGAAAGAGCAACCUGUGGCUCACAGCUAUAAUUGUGAAGGUCAUCUGUUCCUGGGUAAAAACGAUUCUGAAUUAUCUUAGAUCUUUGCUACACCUAGCCUUUCAGCACUGUGAACUGUGAGGCUUCCCUUUCAAUAUCCUGAGAAGGGCAUGGAAACUAAAGUCACAACACUGAAGGGCAGUUGGUGGGCUGCAGUAACUGUGGUUCUGACUGCACCUGUAUACCUGUGAGCACACCUUUGGCAAUGGGCCUUUUUCUCCUCCUCCAGUCAGGCCUGGAAUUCAUUUCCCCACGUACUGACCCUGAGUGGCUCUAUGUGACUCCUUUUGGAAUAGUGUGUUUGAGGCAUGUCAUUGGUCACCUUCCUAGGGCCUGCCAGGGAAGAUGGCUUUUCUUAGUUUCUGCCCUUGUCUGUCAGCAGCUGGAGCUCUCUGUGCUAUGAAGAAUUCCAGAGUGAAAGUUCAAGUGCAGGGAGAGACCCGUCAGCCUGGCUGUUCCUGCCUUUCCUUCUGGGAUCUGAUAUUCUAAUGAGAUGGGCUUCUGAGUCCAGCCCACAUUCCCUGACUGCAAUGGCAUGAGAGAGCUCAGGUUGGUCCAGCAGGGCUUUGUGUGAUCCUCAGGUGAGCACAGGUAGCCUACUUGUGAUCCUCAGUUGAGACUACUUGUUUUCUUCAAUGCGCUCAACUACAUUUCACUUCUCUCAGCUUUUCUUAUUCAUCUACAAAUGUGAUAAAGCAAAGAUGACCCAAAUAGACUACUUAAAAUAGAGGAAUAAGAGAAUUUGCAGAAAUAUGCAUCAGCUCUAGGUUCAUACCUGGUAUAUCAUCAACUCUACUUCAUUUAUUUAGCUUAGGAAAGUUACAUGGCCAAGGCCAGCAUUAAAGAAUGUAAACGUGGUUCUGCUUAGAAUGAAAGAACACUGUAAAUUUCCACACAGUGCUGGGACUGGGGUUGUGGCUCAGUAGUAGAGAACUUGCAUAGCAUUUUUGAGGCACUGGGUCCAGUCCUCAGCACCACGUAAAAAUAAAUAAAUAAAAUAAAGAUAUUGUGUCCAUCUACAACUAAAAGAUUAUUUUUAAAAAAAUCCACAAACUGAUAAGAUAAUCGAGUGAGGAAUGAAAUAUUGGUGACAGGAAUAUUAUAUGAGCGUUGCCAGUACUUGUCUUAUGAAAAAUAGACAAUUGUUUUAAAUUAUUAAAAUUCAUUUUAAUACAUACACCUUUUAGGUUAAAAUACCAUUAUUAAUAUUGCAUCUAUACUUUAAACAUGUGCUGUAUGUUAAACAAUGCAUUCAUUACCUCAAUUAACACAGUAACAUUCUGAAAAAGGUUUUACUACUCUUAUUUAAGAAAAAAAUGAAAAGGAUAUAUAAUUAACAAUUACGUUUUUAAAAUUUUAUUCUAAGCUAUGUCUGGCUACAUUCAAACCUGAUGUUUUUCAAAAAAGGAUAAACUGGCUAGAUGUGGUGGUGCAUGUUUGCAAUCCUAGCAGCUUGGGAGGCUGAGGCAGGAGGAUGGCAAGUUCAAGGCCAGUCUCAGUAAUGUAGUAAGGCCCCAAACAACUUAGCAAGACCUGUCUCAAGAUAAAAAAAAUUAAAAGGGCUGAGUAUGUGGCUCAUAACUCCUGGGCUCAUUCCCCAGUAUCUAAACAACCAACCAACCAAAAAACAAAAGAAUAAAUGGUUAUUAAGCCAAUUUUACUUAGUUUAUUCUUUUUUGAAAAUAUGUUAGAUUCUCUACAUCAUAUUUUCUUUGAUCCUAUGGUAGUUCAAAUAUGCAAAAUAAUGACAGUCAUCAUUCAGAUUCACAUUCAACUUUAUUGAUGACUUUCCGUUUUCACUGCAUAUGUUGCAGGCGUUUUCAUUCUGGGAAUGACAUUAUUUGUAGAGGAAAGAAUUACUAACAACUGCAAAGCUAUUGAGUAUUUCUCAUGUGUCCCUCUGGUCUCAUUCCUAUUUAGAUGUGUGUAGGGACUAUAGAAUCAGAGCUAUCUCUACCCCCAUUAUUUCAGGUACCUGUGGGAAAAUAAUGGGCUUUGUGCAUGUGAAUCCCACAUGCAAUUUUGAAAAAUUACUCCCUUGUUCAUAUUUCUGCAAGACUAAAAUGAGAUGCCCAAGGUACAUGUUCACAGUGUUUAACAUCUGGUCAGUUUCUUGUGCUGCCUCUUAUUUCAAUAAAAUACUUGGAAUCUUUCCAAUUGCAGUCACAUCGAUUCCCAGAAUCCUUGUAAAAGUUUACUUAUAAGUGUAGGAUUGAAAGAUUAAAAUGAAAUGCAGUAUGUAAGCAAAACUUUAUUACAGUGGUGGCUGGUGGCAAGCAUUUGUGGCAACUUAAACUAGUCUGCUGUUCUAAUCACAGUGUAGCCAUUUAUUUAAUUUCCCUUUUCCUGUGAGGAAAUAUACUCCAACCCACUUAUUGAUGCUUAUGCCAUGUUAGUCAUUAUGUUAGGCAAUGGAAGAAAAGAUGAAUAAGAAUUGAUCCUUGCCCUUGAGGAACUCAUAAACAGAGACAGCCACUGUGGAAGCUUUUACAAGGAUAACUAUGAUCAGAGCUAUAACAGAGAUAUAAAAAUACUUCUAUGAAUACCUAAAGAAGCAAGACAUGAAGAGAUGUAAUGAGUUAGGUUUUGAAGCCUGAAUAGUAUUUUUAUAUAAUACAGAAAAUGAUCAUUCAUGAGCAACAAAUGAAAUUAUAUUAGGCAAAAAUGUUAAGGGGAAAAAAUGUGUGGGCAUAGGAGCAUGGACCAAUCCAAGGGACAAGGAGUACUUGCAGGGAUGAAGUAGAGAUUAAUAAAUAGGUUUGUAGUGGUGCAGUAAUGGGGGGAUUAAGCACCUUAUUAGUGAAUGUGAACUCUUUUACUAUAUUAAUUUUUUUUGAUUUGUUCACAUACACCUAACAGUUAAAAUAAUUGAACUAUAAUCCCAGUUCCAAUAUAUGCAUACAUAUUGAUACACUACAGUUAGCCAUCAUUAUUCAUGGAGAAUGGUUCCAGGAUCCCUGUGUAUGCCAAAACAUGUGGAUAAUCAAGUCCUUUGUUUAUAAUGAUACAGUACUUAAAUUGUCUUAUUAAAUAUGUAGAGAAAUGGACUGUGAACUGAAGAAAUAAUAAACCAUUUGAAAGCUAUUAAUCUGUCAAAAUAUUUUUCUUGAAAUUAUUGAGAAACUAUAAUUAAUAGACUUCAUUGUUAUAACUUUUCUGAAUCAUUGUAGAAUGAUCUAUAAUACAGCAAUUCAAAAGACUAGUAAAAGUUCAUUUCUAUAUGUUUGUUUUAAGUGCUGAUAUGCCUGAAGAAAGAAUUCAGAGAUAUAUGGAGCUCUAUUAAAAAAAGCAUGUCAUGGAAUACAUUUUUUAUUACAAAAUACCAGUUGUAUAAAUUGUGCAAAUUGUUUUUGCUGACAAUUACCAAAUUGAUGCUUGAAAUACUAUUGCUGAAAAUAAUAUUAAUUAGAAAAGCUACAUUAUUAUAUUUUAAGACUUUAUUUGAAAACCAUUGCAGCUAUUUGCUUAGAAUAUACAACAAUUUAAUUUUUUAAUGUAUAGAGAUAAGUUAUAUAAGCAGCAUAUUUAUAUUGUUUUGACAAAAUGAGAGAUAAAUCACAUGAAUAUUUCAAACAUCCAUUUUUGGAAUGUUCUUUCAAUAACAUAAGUUUCCUUUAAAAGGACUUUAUAAUUUACUCAUUAAAAUGUUAACAAGUCACUAUUUGGAAAUUCAGAUGGGUAUAAGGUUCUCACAGGAAAGAAUUAUCAGUUUUGAUAUUUUGAUGUUUUAAAUUUGUGCUUCAAUAUCAUUAUUAUCUAUGAUCUAUUGUCUAUUUCCAUUAAUAUCUUUAUGUCCUUUUUCUACUUUGUGACAUGUUAAUUCUUAUUAGAUAAAAUAAUCUUAAAGUAUAGUCAACAGAACAUAAGUAAACACAAUGGGUAGCAUGUGAUGACUGAGAAUAAAGUUUAUGGAACCACCCACUUUUCCCUUAGGUUAUCUUGACAUUCACAAACAGAAGGAAGUUAUUUGUAUGUCAUUGUAGACUAUUGCCAAUGAAUGGAUUAAUUAAAAGCAAUGCUUUUUUUAGUUUUCCUUAAAUAAGAUUUCUGGAUAAUAUUCUAAUAUUUUGUUAUAGACUACCUUUGUGCUGUAUGAACAAGUGCUAUUUGAUCCACAAAGCUCAAGAUCCCACAAUUGAAAAUGAUUUAUAAAGUAAGAUCAAAAACAUGUACACUGCAGGAUUUACCAAAGCAUUGGCAUUGUCACUUUCUGAAGAAGCUGCCACUGUUUUGUCAGAAGAAAAGGGACAACUUGUUAAUACCUAUCUAAAUUGUGAGUCCAGAGUUUCUUGCAUCCAUUAUUAAGUGGGCCUAGUCUCUCUUGGAUAAAUUGGAAAAUAAUGGGUUAUAGGAGAAAGAAAAAAGUACCUUAAGUCAGGGAUCAUUGAUUACCUAGCCGUCAGCAAAAGAGUUAAUACAAUGAAAGUAGGAGGAAGCACAUUCUGUGAAGCUUGGUAACAAUAACCAUCAGUAAUACUACAGAAAAGGAGUUUAGUACCAUGAAUGCCAGGACUCAAUCAUAUUUUUAGAUAUAUGUUUUUCAAAGAAAGGCAAAGUACCUGUGUUUGAGUGUGAAUCAAAAAGUUAAAAUUGUAACUAAUUGUUGCAGGCCCAAAUGGAAAUAGCAUAAUUCCUAAACAUGUCUUUGUGAAGUAAGGGGUCAAUUAUAGGUGUCGUUUGGCCAGGUAAUCCAGAAAUAUUUGGAGUCUUCCAGUGGAUUAAGAAACAAACAAACAAACAAGAAGAAUAUUUCUUCCUGUCCUUCAGGUGAUUAUUGUUUAAUGGGGCUAAAAACUUGCACACAUUGUUACAAAUAUUGAAUGUCUCACCUCUAACUGGUGGGAAAGUGAUUUCAGAUAAAUCUUGAAAAACGAAGUGGUGUGGAUCUUAAAAAACAAACAAACAAACAAACAAAAAAACUUACACAGUAGACAUGAAGGGGGGAAGUACAUGCUUGUUUCACCCAUUUAAAAACACAGUGUGUUUAGAAAAUGGUGAAAUAUGUUGUGUGGUUGAAAUGUAAGCAUGUUUUUAUAAAUAAGUAUGGAAAGAUGCUACUAAAAUAUGGUUUUGUAGGCUAGACUAUGGAUACCCUUGUAUAUUCAACUGACACUUAAUUAUCCUACCUUAUUCUAUAGCCUUCUUCUAGGAAAAGACCCUGACUUAUAACAGGUGAUAUAUGUAAUGUUCAACAAUACUGCCAGUUGUGGAGGCAAUGCCUAUAAUCCCAGUCUUUCAUGAGGCUGAGGCAGGAGGAUUGCAAGUUCCAGGUCAGCCUCAGCAAUUUAGCAAGGCCCUAAGCAACUCUUUGACUCUAAAUAAAAAAUAAAAAGACUGGGGAUGUGGCUCAGUUGUUAAGUAUCCCUGGGUUCAAUCCCGGGGAGGGGGGGGGGACAAAACAAAACAAACAAACAAAAAUAGUGUUCAUCAAAUGAAAGGUACUGCCUUUAAUUAGUAUAAUGAUUUUGAUUAACAUUAUACUCAGUCAUUUAAUUGGAUUCUAUUUUAUCUAGUCAUGACUAUUAGAUAAAUGGUCUAUGAGAAUAUAUAGAUUUUGAAACAGCAAAAAUUCAGUUAUAUUGGCUUCCUCAAGCAUCACUCCUAGUCUUCUGCCUCUAGGACUUUCUAGGACAUUGUAUAGCAGCAUAUUAUUGAUUAUCAUCUGUCAUUAACAACAGACAUCAAAAUCAGACAGAUUUAUUAACAUUUUUUUCCUUUUACUUACUACCAGCAUUAAAGAACUUAUUUUCUUAUGCAAUUAAUCAUAAUACUGAUAUUAUACUAUAGCCUGCUUGGUUAUUUCUUCUGUGAUUGAAAAGUGAUUUUAUGACCUAACACACUACUCCACCUUUCUCAGUGGGCCAACUUUGUAUAAUAAUUACAUGUCAUACUCAGCACCUAUUAUAUUUUGUUAUAACUAUUAAAGAGUUUUCCCUUAUAUGAAGCCUUGUCAUCUUUUCAAGGGUGAGUUAAAGGUAAAUCCACCCAACAUGAACCAGGCCUCUGGCCAUAAAUGAUUAGAUCAAGUAUAAGUAGCUAGCUAAAUAUAUUCUUGUGAAUUUGAAAUAUAGUGUAAAAUUUAGUUUCUCUUGAGGAAGAUGAAAAAAUCACCUGAUUACUUGUGAGUAGCUUUUCACUAUAUUUUAUGUCCAGUGUCUUUACUGUUUCAAAACAGAAAUAACCUGCUUGCCACUAGAGUUUAUAUAACACACACACAUAUUCACAUACACACACACACACACACACACACACACACUCAUUGUACAUAGAGAUAAGACUAGAAAGGCAAUUUUGAAAAUCUAGAGGGCAUUUCAAUUUGUUUCCAGUCCUUGAAACUUAACUGUAUUCAAGAACCUUGAGAUCCACAAAUUCAUUCCAUAGCCUUAUAUUUCAUAUCCCUAUUUAGCUCAAAUCAAUGCAAAAAAGCUUCUGUUAUUUACUACAUAAAUACUUGAUAGUAUUGAUUUGUUUAUACUUUUUAUCAGGGACCUUAAUUAAAUGUCUACUUUUUCAAUUUUAGUUUUAACUGAUCCAUAAUAGCAUAGAAUUAUGCAUAUUAAUAGGGCAAACACAUAAUGUUUGGUGAUACAUGUAUACAUUUGGUAAUAUUUAUGUCAGGUUAAACAUAUCUAUCUCUUUAAACAUUUAUCACUUAUUUUGAGUGAAAAUCUUCAAAGUCCCUUCUUCUAUUGUUUUGAAAUAUAUACUUCAUUACUACUAUACAUAGUCACUCUACUGUGCCAUAACACAUGAGAACUUCUUGCUACCAAUUCUAACUUCACAAUCAUUAUAAGCUCUACUUUUUAUACAGUCUUGUAAUCUAGCUGCAGGAUAUCACUUAAAGUAACACCAGUAACCAUUUAUAGAAGUAAUAUUUUUAGUAUAGUGAUCAUGUUUCCCUGAAUUACAAACAUUAUGUGUUUAAUAUAUAUCAAAGUCAAAUAUUAUGGUUUGAACAUUCAUAGGAUAUAUUUUUAAACUAACCAUGAAGUGAAAUAAUCCAGACUCAUAAAGUCAAGGGUUGAAUAUUUUUUUCUCAUAUGUAUAUUCUAGACAGAAGAAAAAGGAAAAAAAAAAUAAUUUCAUGAAAAUAUAAAGAUCAAUAGAGUAGAGGAAGGGGAUCCACAGGGAAGUAAUAGAGGAGGGCAUAGGGAAAUACUGGGGGAAUUAUGCUUGUACAUAGAUAUAAAAUUAUAAUGCACUAAUUGAAAUAAUACUAAAAACAACAAUAGUAGUAUACAUGAGAUCAGCAGAGUAAAACAAGUGGAUAGGGGAAGGAUCAGGGGAGAGGAAGGGGUAGUACUGCGGAAUGAGAUUGAUCAUGUUAUGUUAUGUGGACUUUAAAAUGUGGCACAACAAAUUUUACUAUUAUGUAUAAUUAUAAUGCAAUAAUAAAAUAACUAAAAUAUAAUAAACUUUUUAGCCAUGAGCACUUGAAAUCUAAUUUUUACACAUUUCAAUUAGUGAACUACUUUCCUCGACUGACAUGGAUAGUGUUGAUUGUUUUACCAGGAAUUCUAAUAAGAAUAUCCACAUUUCUGAAACUCCAUGUUCUGAAUGCAUUUUCUUUGCUUCCAAUUCCAGUUAUAAUGGCAUUAUAGCAAGGCUAAAAAAUAGUGCCAUCCAUGAUUUCUUUGCUUACAUAAAUUAUUAAGAAAGGUACUGGCAAUAUUUUAUCUGAAUACUUGGCUACGUAACAGAAACACUUGGACUAAACUACAAUGUUGAGCAAAGUUCACUCCCUCAAUACCAUUUCUCCUCCACAUUCUUACACAUAGAGUUAAAAUAAUGAAAAAGGAAAACAAAAACAAUACUUUAAAGUACAGAUUAAAUGUCAAACUAUGUAUUCACUAUGAAUUUUUGAAAGGAAACAGAUUAUAUUUCAUAGCUAUAUUGUCUGAGACAUCAGAUUGCUGUUGUAGAUCACACUUGAUUUUUCUGGCUUUUGAUCUUUACCAUCUACCAGCUGGACUCGAACAAUUUUGUAUCCUACUGUGUAGAAUUUGAUUGCCCACAGAUCUAUAAAAUUGCAGUGUUAUUAGGUAGCAAGCAAAACUAUUUUCUUGUGAUGACCAACAGAGGAAAGGUUAAAAAAACAACCUUUAGCUAUGGCCUCUGCUGAAAUGAAUGGAUUUUAUAUUGUACAUAUACAGGGAGACCCUUUAUCAACCUUGAUGAAUUUGGAUGGAGGAUCACAAGCCUCCAUCCUUUGUGGUAUACCACUAAAUAUUUCCAACUGUAUUAUGGAACAAAUUGCCCCCAUAAUAUUUAUCUCAACUUAAUUUCUGAAAGUAAAGUUUAUUUUAUUUUAAUAAAAUGUUAAAGCUAUCUAUUUAUUUUACAGGAGUACAGGGGAUUGAACCCAGAGGUACUUUACCACUGAGACACAUCCCCAGCUUUUUUUUAAAAUUUGAGACAGAACCUUGCUAAGAAUUGGUGAGGCUCGUCUGGAAAAAAACUAAGGAUUGAUACACAAGUAUUUGUGUUUUAUUUCCUUGAGUAGUUGACAUUUAAAUAGAGAUGAAGGGGAAGAGUAGGGGGAAAGGGUAAGCCAAAGUAAAUAAGUAUUAUAUAAGGAUGUAUAUUAUUAGGAAUUAAAGAAGAUGAUGACAAAGCAAAGAAAGUCAUGAAAAGGAAGGUGGUAUGAAGGACAUUCUAGAUGGAAAAGUGUGAGUGAAACCAGGGAAUCUGAAUAUCAUAGUGUAUAUUGCACAACAGAAAGUAAGUUGAUCUAGUUUGUGCUUAAGGCAUAAGAGGAAUCAGGGCUGGUCUAAAGAAGUUACCCAUUAGUACAUGAGGAUGAAUUAGAAGGAAUACUAAUUACAUAUGAUGUGUCUAACACACUGCAUAUGAGGCCCAAAGUCACAGACAUUUUUGUGUGUACACAGACACACACACACACACACACAGUAGCUUAUGGAUGUUCCUGGAAUAUUAUUGUAGGCAAUACAAACUGCCCCCAUUGCAGUUUUUCAUUCAGACAAGUUCCUAGGGACAUGAAUCAUUCUAGGGAGUCAGUCUCCUGUUUUAGCAUGUAAAACAACAGUUGUGUUCCCAAAAUGCAGCAACAUUUCAAACAAGUGUCUUUUAAUUAUAUGGAAGAGGGGGCCUAGCUUGAUCAGCAUGCCAUUCUCCCUAGGAUUCAAAUAUGCUUAGGCACAUCUGGAGGACAGGUGAGGAAAGCCCACAGGGUCUAUAUGUAGGAUAGACGGAAUCACUUUUUGGAAAAGAAAGUUUGUUUUGAAUGAAGAGGAUGUCAAAUCUACAUGGUUUUAGUACCUUUUUCUUUAGUCAUCCAACAGAGGAUACUUCUGAGUAUAGUUUAGUCUCUAUUUUUCAUUCUCAGGACUCAGCUUCACAUGUUUUCUUAUGAUCUACUUCCUAGUGAGGCAGGUGGUCUGCAAUUAAAACAGAAAAUCUGUCUAAUUUAACCCUCUAUAAUGUUACAGUGCAAGGCUGAACUACUAUGGGAUAUUAUGACUCAAAAUAAUAAGAAAAAGGGCCUUAUCUAUGGAUAUUCCUUAUGAUAUUAAAAUGAUACAAAUCAUAAAGUCAUGAGAUGUCAAACAAUGCUCUAAAGUUUUGAAGGGACUUCAGAAAUAUGCAACCUGUGUUUCUCAAAUUUACACAAUUAUAGUAUUACUAUAUGUCAAGAUUUUGCAAAUUGGGGUCUAUGGAAUCCUGGAAAUCCACAGAUAUAUUCUUAAUGGGCUACCAGUUUUCUACAAUAAGUUUUUAUUUGUUGUCUUUCCAUUUUAUUUAUCAACUGUAAAAAUAAUGUCAUCAUAUUCCAGAACAACUGGAUAAAAUGAACUAAGCAUUGUCAUAUAAUUUUAUUAACUACAUGAUGUUUUAAUUGUAGGCUAAUGAAAACGUGAGAUAGAUUAAAUAUGCAAACAAUGUAUUUGAAACUGAUGAGAGCAAUAUUAUUAUAUCACACAGUCCACAUGAAAAUUUCACACUAAUUUAAAUGGAGAAAACUUGUAAAAAUUGAGUUGCCCCAAGACACCAGGUGAGAUAGCCAUGUUGAAUACUCAUGAAGAAAUUGUAGUGUAGCAGUAGUCAUUACUAUGUUCAAUUGGUAAGGACUAAUGUAUUCAUUAGGAUGUAUAACCUUUUACAUAAAUUUAAUAUUAUAAAUUUGCAUUUUGGUGCAUGAAUGUUUUUAUUUACUUGGUAAAUAUGUUCAAAUUGUAUAGGUAUAUAAGACCUAUGAGGAUGUGUUUAUUAGAUUUCAGAUAGUGCACAUUUAACUAGUCAUUACAAAAAUUUUAAGAGUCAACACCUGAAAUGUUUUUCGCUCAUUUAUAUCCAAAUAUUUUUCAGUUUUGGGAAAAACCAAAACAAAAGUGUUUUGUACUCUUCUGAAAGAUAUAUUAAGUAUUUCAGAACCAUCUAAGGCAUGGCCAAUGUCUUGGCACCACUAACUCCAGAGUAAGACUAGACAAACUUUAUGUUCUCUAAUUAUGCCACUGUAAUUAAAAAAAAAAAAAAAUUAAGAGACAUGAGUGAAUAAUGCCAACUAAUUUAAAAUUGAGAUUGAACUGAGGAAUUUUCAUAAGAACAACUUUUAAUGUUGUUUUAAUUUCUUUUUGGAUCAUAUUCAGAUAUAACACAUAUCUAUAAAUAAGGCCUUGUGCUAUAUGCUGUCAAACCUAAGAGAAAGAUGUAUUCUUGCUUUGUAUAUGACUAAAAGAAGGAUCAGAGGAAUUAAGUCAUCCAAGGGUCAUAGAGUAAGGGGUAUGAUUGACACUUAUUUACAAGUCUUCUGACCCCAAGUCCCUUGAUCUUUCCACUUAUCAUACCAGAUCCUUCUGAAUUUAGUUCUUUGUUCUAUCUAAAAUUCACUUUUUAUAAACAAGUGAACUUUGCCCAUAUUCUCAGUAAAAAAAUAUGAUCUUUAAUUAGACGUCAGUGACCUACUGCAUGACUUGAGCUUUGAGAUAUUCUAGUUUCUCAAAUAAGUUCACAUUUAUCUUGACUUUUUAAACUUUUAUUAUUAAAUGUACAUAGUUCAAAUACUAUAAGAUAGUUAAAAUAUGCACCUUCCAAGUUUAAGUAUGGAAAUAUUUUAGUCAGCUUUUAUGAAUUUUACAUGCUUUUUUUUUUUGUACUGGCUAAUUGAACCCAGGGGUGCUUAAACAGUGAGCAACACCCUCAGCCCUUUUUAUUUUUUAUUUGGAGACAGGAUCUCACUAAGUUGCUUACGGCUUCACUAUAUUGCUGAGGCUGGUUUUGAACUUGUGAUCCUCCUGCCUCAGCCUACAGAGCCACUGGUAUUUUAGGAAAGCACCACUGUGUCAAGCUCUCCAAUUCUCUGGGGUCUUUUAAAAGGAUGGCUUACUUGAGUUGCAAAUUACCAGACUUUUUCAAGAUGGUAACAGAGUUUAUAUUUUUUCCUUAUUUUGUCAUUGAUUGAAAUAAUUUAUGUAACAAUGUCAACAGAUCUGACAAGUUUAACUGGAAAUUGCAAUCAAAAUCAUGCCUAAAAUAUUAAAAUUGUCAACUUUUAUAGAAUAAACUGUCACAAUUCAGUAAGAUGGAAGGAAAGGCAAAUACUUUCUUGAGGAGAAAAUCAAGGCUAAAAAGAUUAAAGAAUAAGAAAUUACUCUGAAUUUUCAAACAUUUAUAGAAGUAACUUCUUAUCAAGGCCCCCAUCCCUCCUAUGUAAUUUUAAUUGAAACCCUUCAUCUUAGACCUAUUUUAGCCCAGUAUUUGAAAUUCUAAUGUGAAAGAUCCUAAACUUUUUAUUUCCAUCAAAGAUAUCUCAUGGAGGGUAUGGGCAAUUGAACUAAGAGGUGCUUGACCACUGAGCCACAUCCCCAGCCUUAUUUUGUAUUUUACUUUGAGAGACAGACAGGGUCUCACUGAGUUGCUUAGUGCCUCACUAUAUUGCUGAGGCUGGCUUUGAACUUGUGAUCCUCCUGCCUCAGCCUUCCAAGCCCCUGGGAAGCAAAGACUUUUUUAAAAAUGUCAUUUGUUUCUAUUACUUGAAUUUUAGGGAUGUGAAUAUCUUAUAAAAUUAAUGUUGAGUUGUCAUCCUUCAUAAUAUAAAAUAUAUGCAGCAUGUUAUAGAAAUAUUUCUGAGGAAAAUAAUAUGGAGAUGAAUAGAAACUUUUAAUUCAUAAUCCUACAUUUAAAGAGAAAAUAUAUUAAACAUAUUGAGUGAAUUUUUAAUAGGCACACUUCUUUUGAGUGAGUGUGAGACAAUAUGAUUAAUUAGAAUACUUUAAUACAGAGCAACAAAGACACAGGUAUCCUUUUUUUAAAGCAAAGUUAAACUUUUUCAAAAUAUCUCUGAUAUCAUUUGCUAAAGCUAUAUAUCAUGUGAGGGAAGAAACAGGUUGUGAUGAAUUUCAAACAUUUUAGUGAACUUGUACAUUUUUAAGUGGGCCAUGAACUUGAAAUACAUCACUUUUAAAAAAUCACUUUGUGGGACCACUCUGAAAACGUAGAAUAAAACCACACCAUGUAUAAGAUAAUAAGCUGCAUUUUUCUCUUUUUAUAUGUGUUAAGGAGUUAACAGCCUCCAACUCCUGCCACAUAUUCAUGCCCUGCUGCAUAUGAAUGGGGAAAUAAGCACUCCCACAGAUACUUACAGGAAUGUAAAUUGACACAACAUUUUGGAUAGUAAUAUGGAAUACCUCUUACAUGUGGCAAAAAUUUACACAUGGCCACUCAUCUAUGAAACUUACUCUAAACUAUAGGAACAAUGGAUAGAAAAAAAUGGCAAGGGGGCAUUUGUUAAAUAUGCAUACUCAAAGAAACCAAAUAUUGCCCAAGGCUUAAAAAACUAUUUCAGGUAAGCUAAGAUUGUUUAUGGCUAAAUGGUAAAACUUUCUAUGUUUAUUAUACUUCCACUUCUCCUUUCCAUGGAUGAAAUUUUUUUUUAAAUAUCUUUUAUUUUUAUUUUUACAUGGUGCUGAGGAUCGAUCCCAGUGCCUCAUGCAUGGUAGGCAAGUGCUCUACCUCUGAGCCACAACCCCAGCCUCAUGGAUAAAAUCUUAACAUAAAAAAUUAUGUAGCAUUAUGGAUGCAGAGGAAGGGAAUCUGGAUCAAAUGUUAUCUUGUUCUAUGGGCACCUACCAGCCCCUUUAUAAGAUAUAGCUCACUUCUGGUUUGGGGGCAUGACACUCUGUUAGCAGCUGUUGAAAUGCCUAUAGUUAAUAUAUAACCUACAGUGUUUUCUCUUGGUAGAGUAAUGUGCAGGGGUUUCUAGAAGAAUAUCUAGCCAAUUAUUUUGCUGAUGAGGCUUCUCUUCAUGAUUCGUUGGUGUUGCUUAUACUGUGAAUUAUUCCAUAUAUUUCAUCUACUCUUUAGCUUUGGGAUAUUAAUCUUGAAGUCUUUGCAAUUUUGAUCCCAAGGAACAAUGCUAACUUAAUUCUAAUAUGCUGCCAGGGCAUGAUAGUGCAUGCCUUGAAUCCCAGCCACUCAGGAGGAUGAGGCAGGAGGAUCACAAGUUCAAAGCCAGCCUCAGCAAUAUAGCAAGACUCUGUCUCAAAAGGGAAAAAAAAAGACUGGAUUGUAGCUCAAUGGUAAAGCAUCCUUGAGUCCAAUCCCCAAUAACAAUAAACAAACAAACAAUCCUUAUUAGGCUAUUUUCUUUCCCCAGUUCCUGAUGGGAGCCUCUAGACCUGUUUCAUAUCUGAUGAAAAUUGUGACAAACCCUCUCCAUUAUCAAAUAUAUAAUAUCACCAUUCCUACUCUACUACAACCACUCCAAGUUUGUUUGGGGAGCUACUUUUUUUCAGAUUGCUAUAGGGGAAAGUAUAUAUAUUUAAAAAACCCUAUGCUUUAAGCUUCUCUUUCUUUUAGAAAUUUAUCAGUAAUGCUGUUUUGUCUCCCUCUUUUCAUCCCACCCCCUCUGCUUAAUCCCAGGACAAGGAUUUCUGGGAUGGGAACACUGAUCAUUAUUUAGAUGAUGUAGGCACUGUUUUUAUCCUCUUUGGCUCCUGUCAUAUUUCUCCCAGCAUGGAGAAGUUUUAUUCCCAUUCCUCUAUAACAGGAACUUUCCUUAAGUCACAAUCACUGUCCUCUCUACAUUGCAGAUUAUGGUAAAUAUCUGUGCUCAAAUGGAAGGUGUGUUCUUCAUAUGUACAGGAAAGUUUUCAAUUUUACAAAGCCUUUUUAUUUCUAAAAAAAAUCAUGGUAAGAGCUGGGGCUGUAAUUCAGUGGUUGAACACUCACCUAGUACAUGUGAGGCACUGGCUUUGAUCAUUAGUCAUUAGAAAUAUUUAAUUAUAUAUCUAGUCACAGAUAAAAAUGUCCAAAAUAGUGUUAAUACAAAAAGCAGUUUCAGGAACUGGAGCUGUGGGUCAGUGUUAGCAAUGUGUGAGGCACUGGAUUCGAUCCUCAGCACCACAUAAACAAAGUAAAAAUUCAUUGGCAACUAAAACAUAUUUUUUAAAAAGCAGUUGUCAUACAAUGUAUAUAAUAUUCAUUAGACUACAUAUCUUUUUGGAUACUAUUAUCGGGGAUUUUCAGUUUUCCUAUCAUAUUUCUUAUAAUCAUUGCAUUUUUAAUAAAGAAAAAAUAUAGAUACAAAGAUGUAACUAAAUAUAUCUUAAACCAACAAGCAGUGUCUCACCAGUAAAAUACUAGUGAUAUUCUUAUUAAAAAAGAAAAAGAAUGAAAAAUUGUAAGGCUCAUAUUUACUUUAAUAUCAUUCAGAAUGAAUUAGAUGUUGCAGUGAGAAAUGCAAUGAAAUUAGAAGACAGAAUUACUAUAAAGGUAGAAAAUAAAUUAUUAGUAUUGAUAAAUGACACAUUUGGUUAUAAUUCUAUAUAACAGACAAACUGUUAUAACUAAAAAGAUUUUAAAAAUGUGAUGUUUUAAAACAGGAAUAUAAAAAUCAUUGGCUAUCCAGUAAAAUAGUAAGCAAUUAUCAAACAAAUAAGUCACUCAUAUAUCAAUAGAAUAUACAAACAACCAAGUAAUAAAGUUAGGAAAAAAUGAAAAAGCUUUAGGAUAGAAAAUGAUGUUUUACAGAGAAAUAUAAAUGGUUGAAGACAAAAAUAUAAAACCUUUUUUAUGACCAGAUGAGAAUUUGUUAAGUUGGAAAGAUGUCAGUUUAAAAAUUAAAGAACAUUUGAAUUGUUUCCAAAUGACUUUAAAGAUUAAAUGUGCUUUGUAUGGGCUGGGGAUAUGGCUCAAGCGGUAGUGUGCUCGCCUGGCAUGCGUGCGGCCCGGGUUGGAUCCUCAGCACCACAUACAAACAAAGAUGUUGUGUCUGCCGAAAACUAAAAAAAUAAAUAUUAAAAUUAUCUCUCUCUUAAAAAAAUUAAAUGUGCUUGCAAAUAAAAUCAGAGUUUCAUAUAUGAACAUAUGAAAAAAAUAAAUCAACCUUGAAAUUAUGUCAAGUCUUUUUAGGUAUACAUGUUCUUGUGCUUGAAUGUGUCUCAUUAAAUCUCAGGUUUACCAAUGUGACAGAAUAAAAGAUGGAGUCUUUAAGAGGUGAUUAGUCCAUGAGGGCGCCUUCCUCACUAAAAGAAUUAAUGACCUUGUACAGUAGAAUCAUACAGCAUGUGGCUAGCUUUUUCUUCAGCUUUUCUGCCAUGUGUUCACAUAGAGGUCCACCCCUCUGUAAGAGGAAACAUCACCAUACAACAAAAGCCAAAGUUGCCUUGAGCUUGGAAUUUACAGUCUUCUGAAAAAUGAGAAAUUAAUCUUCCUUAAAAAUUACCCCAUCUCAGGUACUUUGUUAGUGCAGCACAAAAGGAACUGAAACAUAUUUUCUCAAAGUAUACAGAAAGGGUCUGGGCAACAUUCUAGGGCUGUAUAUGUACAUAUUUGAGUCAACGGGAAGAGCAAGGAAAUUUAAUUAAGCCAAAGUUGCUUAAUAUUAUGGCAUAAAACAUAAAAUAUCAUGAAGUCCUAUAGAUUUACUAAGCAAUGUUUUUUUGAGUUUUAUUUUUAUUUGUUUUAAUUGUGCAUGACAGUACAAUGAUCUUGACAUAUCAUACAUUUGAAUCAAAUGGGGUAUAAUUUCUCAUUUUUCUGAGUGUACAGGUUGCAGAAUCACAUUGGUCAUGCAGUCACAUAUAUACAUACAGCAAUACUAGUGUCUAUUUUAUUCUGCUGUCCUUCCUAUUCCCCCCCUUACCCUCCCCUCCCCUCCCAUCACCUCUCUAUCCAAUCUAAUGUGACACACUUUUUUUUUUCCUCACAUUUUCAUACAUGUAUUUUGUAUAGUGAUGAGGGUCUCCUUCCACUCAUGCUCUUCCUCCCUAUCCCAUUCUGAGUCACCCCACCCCCCAUUAUAUCAGAGAAGACAUUCGGCCUUUGAUUUUUAGGGAUUGGCUAACUUCAUUUAGCAUAAUCUACUCUAAUGCCAUCCAUUUCCCUGCAAAUGCCAUGAUCUUGUUAAUUUUUAGGGCUGAGUAAUAUUCCAUUGUGUAUAAAUGCCACAUUUUUUUUAAUCCAUUCACCCAUUGAAGGGCAUAUAGAUUGGUUCCAUAGUCUAGCUAUUGUGAAUUAUGCUGCUAUAAACAUUGAUGUGGCUGUGUCCCUGUAGUAUGCUCUUUUUAGGUCUUUUGGGUAUAAUUCAAAACAAAUAUUUCCACUCAUUUCUCACAAAAUGCACCUUAUAACUAUAAAGAAUAAAAUUUAUAAUUUGGUACUUCAGAUGUCAAAGACAAAGCUAGCAUUAAAAAAUGCCCAAUUCUAUGUAUUAGAAACUAAAUGAAAUGCAAAAAUAAAGGGGAGGAGAAAAAUAGGGGAAGUAAAAUAUUUUUACUUAAAAUGUUACAUUUAUUUAAAUAAAUAUUGCUUGAUGAAAGAUCUAGAAUUAUAUUCUUAUAGACACAAAGAAUUGGUUAGUAUUUAUGUAACAGACUUUAGGAAAAAACUUAGGACUGAAAGAACUUCAAGCAACAGAGACUCAAAAAUAAGUAAUUAAAAAAAAGAAUAAAUAUGAAUGAUAAAUGCUAAAUAAAGUAUUUUAAUAUGUAUUAAAUAAAGUAUUAAAUGAUUUAUUUAAUUGAAGUAAAGUAUUAUUAAAUUAUGUGAUAGAGGUUUAUAAAUCAAAAGACUAAAUCUUUCAUGAAAAAGAAAGAAAUUAUGUCAAUAAUUCUUAGGGGGCUGAAACUCAGUGGUAGAGCACUUGCCUAGCAUGUGUGAGGAGGCACUGGGUUCUAUCCUCAGCACCAAAUUAAGAAAAAAAGGUAUUGUGUCCAUCUACAACUAAAUAAUAAUAAUAAUAAUAAUAAUAAUAAUAAUAAUAAUAAUAAUUUAUUUAGUAUACUAAACAAGGUCUUUACAGGUUUGGCCCUAUAUAACUUAAUUCAACUCCUUUUCUCUCAUCUCUCCUUUACACACAGGCACAGUGAAGUUGAUUAUCAACUUCACAAUUCCACAGCUAUGGAGGGCCUAGUAUUCAUUUGUAACAUAAAUAAUAAAAUUAAGUUCUUUAGGAUGCCAUUUACAUCUAUUAUCUCAUUUGACUUACACAAAAAUCUUAUUACAAGAAAAAUAUUAAUUAUCUUAAUUAUUUAUUACUAAUUUAUCUGUCUUAAUUUUCUAUCUGAUUUCAAUUCUUCAAAUAUUAAUCACUAUUUUCUAUUUUAUUUUUAUAAUCAAAAUUUAAUAUGGUCUUUUAUAUUGGUAUAUUUCAUAAAAUCAUGGUUCUAUUAUAUGAUUAACUAUUACAAACCUGUAAAAUAAUAUUUAUGAAUAUAUAUUACAUAAGAAUUCUUAUCAUGUUGAUCUAUUAAAAUAAGAGGAAACCUAUUUUAUGAAAAGCUCUUUCUAUACAUAUGAUUAGAAGAAAUUAUAUCAAAAGUCAACAUAUAUUUCAAUAUUUUUCCUAUGACUAUGAAAUUAUUUAAAAAUUUUAAGUAUUCACUAUUUCUACUUGAAAUGCAGAAAUAAAACACAUCCCCAAAUUAGCAAUUUCACUUAAGAAAAAUCUAUAGAAACCCAACAUGUGGGAUAUUUUAUUAAAUAAUAGGGUGUUAAAAUUUCUGCUUUCACCCAUUAGGUACUAAGAGAAGCAGGAAUUCCCCUCUUUCUAUGGAAAACUAGAAAACCAGACAAAAUACAUGAAUCAAAGGUUUCAAGAAACUGCUCAUCAAGUGGAGCACGGGACUAUGAUCCCUGACCAGGAUUAAAAAAAAAAAAAGUGACCCUUUCUAUGGGCCUAGCCUGGUUUCUAAAGGCAUGUGCUAUCAUAACACACACACAAAAGUAAGAAGCUAGAGUAUUGUGGCUUUCCUGAAUUAAGAGGACAACUACUGGGGCCUGGGUUGAGGCUCCAUGGUAGAGCGCUUGCGUAGCAUGUGAGGCACUGGAUUAAAUUCUCACAACUAAAUAAUAAUAAUUUAAUAAUAAUAAUAACAAUAACAAUAAUAGGUGGCUAGAAUUUAUGGAUGGAAUAUUGGAGAGAAAGGAGCUACACAGAGGGAAACCAUAGAAAUCUGCAGAAAAGACUCCUUGAUUUUAUGGUUAAGUGAUAAUCUGCAUAUGUGUAGCAGGAAAAUUCAAAAGGCAAUAUAAAAUACUACUGAUAAAGAGUAGACUGGAUCAUUUCACAGGCUCAUUGAUGGUGGAACCUUAUUUCAUUUCCCAUUAACCAGAGUGGAGAAAACUUGCAAUAUGUCAGACAUAAGAAGGAUCUUAACAAGUGUCACAUGUUAAGAGUAAGGAUAUUUAGUCUAAGAACAAAGGCAGUAUAUUAGACCUUGCAUAACAAAAAUUAAAACCAAGCCCUAAAUGAAUCAAAUUGACCCGCAAGUAAUUUAACACCCGACAAAAACCCAGUACUCUUUAAAGGAAUAUGACAAAAUAAAUAAACUAACAACAUAAAAUCUGCAAUGUAUGUUAUUUAAUAAAAUUGAUUAGUUAGGCAUGGUGGCACAAACCUGUAGUCUCAGCGACUCAGGAGGCUGAGGCAGGAGAAUCAUAGGUUCAAAACCAGCCUCAGCAAUUUAUCGAGGCUGUAAGCAACCUAUCGAGACUCUGUUUCAAAAUGAAAAAAAUAAAAUAUAAAAGGAGUGAAGAUGUGGCUCAGUGGUUAAUCACCCUUGGGUUUAAUCCUUGAUACAAAAAAGAAAAAAAAAAAUCUGACUAGAAACUAGUAGAAAAAUCAAAUAAUAGAAAGUGAGAGAAAAAUGCAAUUAGUGAAUAACACUUUAAAACAGCCAUUAUAAAUCUCAUUAAUGUACACAAAUGUAUAAAAGAAAGAAUGAGUAGAAAAAUAUAGGAUGUAAUAAAACAGCCAAAUGUAACUUCUAGAGACAAAUGCAAUAGAUGAUAUUAAACAUCACUGUAUGCAAUUAAUAGUAGAUUAGAUACUCCAGAAGAAUGGUGAACUUGAAGAAAUAGAUACUCUUUAAAAUAAAGAAACAAGAGAAAAGAAAGCUGAAAUAAUAUCAGCUGGUGUCAAAUAAGGUAAGGGGAGGCAGAAAGAAAAAUAUUUUAAAAAAUAAUAGGUGAGUCAGAGGUCUCAGUAUGUAUCCUAAAGAUAUCAAAAAGUAUAAUAAGGAAUAUUUAUGAACUAGCUUUACCAGUUUAUUGGACAAUAUAAAUGAAAUGAACAAACUAUUUGAAAGACAGAAAUGACCAAAGCUCACUGAAGAAUAAAUAAAAAAUAUGACUAAUCUUUACCUAUUACAAAUCUAUAUUUCCUAGUUUAAAAUCUUGACCCAAUACGAAAUCUACAUCCAGAUAUUUUCAUUGGUGAAAGAUAUUCCAUGCUUAAUUCUUGGUCCUGGUACAGAAGAUAAUAUUGCUAUGAAUUUUAUAUAUAUAUAUAUAUAUAUAUAUAUAUAUAUAUAUAUAUAUAGCAAUUCUUUUCAAAAUCCUAAUAGUGAUUGAUUUCAAUAUUAACAAGCUAUUUUUAAAUUAUACAUAUUUAAUAUAUUAUACAACAUAUUAUACAUAUUAUAUAUAAACAGAUUACCUGAUUUCAAGUCUUAUCAUUCCAUAUGCAAACAUUAAUUUCCUAUCAAUCAUACUCAUUAUAUUUCAAACCUAAAACUAAGAGAUCUGGGGUGUAGACCUGUGGGAGGCUGUGGAAAGAAAGCUUUGUGCUUAGUCCUUAGGCACUGCAAGAUAAAAAAACAAAGCAAAAAAAAAGACCUGAAACUCAUAAGCUAUCAAGUUAAAAAAGAUAAAUUGUAUUUUAUCACAUAAUUGUUUUAAUCAAGCUCUACUGUUAAAACAAUUUAAAAGACAGAAAAUGUUUGAAAAAUAUAUAUCUGAUAAAAAUGUGUAGUCAAGAUACAUAAAGCACUCUUGAAACUCAACAAGACAAAGAUAAUCUAUCUGCUUUUUAAACAUGAAUUUAUUUUAUUAAACGCUUCACAAGAAAAGAUACAUGAAUGGCUAUUCAGUACAAGCAAAAAUGAUCACCACCUAUAUUCAUAGAGAAAAUAAAAUAUAAAGCUACAAUAAGAUAGUAAUAUACAUAUGAGAAUUGCUAAUAUAAAAAAGCCUGACUAUACCAAAUAUUCUUAGAAUAAGAAGGAUCUGAAAAUUUUAUACAUCUCUAGUGAGAAUGUAGAACUAUGUGGCAACUUUUUAGUAAGUUAAAUAUGGUUAUAAUAUGAAAUUCAUUUAAGAGAAAUGAAGUUAUUUUAAUACAAAGAUUUGUUCAUAUUAUUUAUUCAUAAUAGCCUCAAAUUGAAAACAACCCCAAUGCCCAUAAAAGAUAAAUAGAUAAAGUGAUUUAUCCCUAUAUAGAUAUACUAAUCAGCAAUAAAAAGAAAAGUACUAUUGAUACAUAUAAUCAUGGAUAAUACUCAAAUGCAGUAUGAUGAAUAAAAAUUCCAGGCAGGGGACUAUAUACUAUUCAUUAGAAAAUCAGAAAGAGGAAAACUUAUUAACAGAGAUAAGAUCAUUGAUGGUCAGUUGGUGAAGGUGGAGAUAGAGAUCAAGUGCAAAGCUGUAUAAACAAUACCUUGGGAACAUGAAAAUAGUUAUUUUGAUUGAUUGUGGUAAUGGUAAAAAGGAUUGUAUUUGCAGAAAUGCAACCACUGUUAAUUAAAAUGGAUGCAAUUAUUAUGUGUAAGUAUAACUCAAUAAAACUGUUUCAAAAAUGAAUUAUAUACACAUAGAUUGUGUAUAUAAUUAAAUACACAUCUUAAAUAUACAUAGAUUGUGCCAAUUCUAUGUGUAUUUCAAAGUAUCAUUACAAUGAAAAUAACUUCUUAUAAAAACUUUGAAAACUUUCUUAUAGUCCCCAUGCAGGAAAAUUUUAUUUUUAAAAAUGAGGUUAGAAUAUAAUUCAAAAAAUUCCUUAAAUUUUGUUUCUUGUUGUGUAUGUGUCCAACAUUUCCCAUGUAAUUAGAAAAGUUGUAAAAAAUAUUUUAUUUACUUUAUAAUGGGACUCAAGUCCAUAUUCUACCACUUCUGUGGGUUGGGAAACAAUUAUAAAUCUGGAUUUCACAUUCCUUUUCUGCAAAGCAAUAUUAUUGUUUCAGUACUGGCAAAAGAAUUUCUAGUUUGGUCAUUGACUCUAGCUUCUCUGGGAAUUUACAAUGACAGAGUGAUUUUGAAUGUAAACAAAUUGGAUUAGAGUUAACAAUUGUGCAUUUGUAAUUAGCACAGUGAAAAAUCCAUAUACAGGUAAUUGGGUCAUGACUACAUUUAAAAUGUCAAUGGCUAAUGGUAUUUGACAGAAAGAUACUGUCUCCUCCAGUAUAUGUUCCCUUGACCUCUUUUCUGGCCAAUUUCCAUUCUACUGAUAGAAAUGAGGGCUAGAGAAAAUUCAAAACCAUUAUUAUAGAAGAUUUUUUUUCUGAGAAUGCACAUCUUUGAAAGAUAUGGUAGUAUAAAAAAAGAUAAUAAUGGGCUGGGGAUGUGGCUCAAGUGGUAGCGCACUCGCCUGGCAUGCCUGCGGCCCGGGUUUGAUCCUCAGCACCACAUACAAACAAAGAUGUUGUGUCUGCCGAAAACUAAAAAAUAAAUAUUAAAAAAAAAAUCUCUCUCUCUCAAAAAAAAAAAGAUAAUAGCAAUUACUUUGGUAGUAAAAAUUGACUAGGAGCUCUUUCUAGAAUCCAAGAGGAUAUUACAAAAUUAUUUUGUCAAAUCAUUUUCUAGAAAUAGUUUUUUCAAAACUGAGAUUAUGAUUUCUUAGCAUUCAGAUGUUAGUUGUUUUCUUAGGGUGGUAUAAAAAGUGUCAUGGAAAACUUGAAAUUUUCCCUGAUCCUGCCUGUAUAAUUCUUUCUGCUUCUAAUCUUAUCUCAAACACCAGCUUCUCCAUGAAGUUGUUCCUUAGACUAUAAGCAGGUAAAGUCUAUUUUCCUCCCUAAAAUCCUUAGAAGUCACUAUCUCUGUAUGUCGUGCAAUGCUGACUAUUUUACCUAAAGUCGAGUUGUUUGUGUAAUUUUUUAUUUCAUUGCAAGCUCCUUGAUGACAAAUAAUGAUUCACCCAACCCUCUAUUAGCCAAAUGACCAAAGAAGGAUGAUGUAAAAUUAUAAGACAGUACAGUUAUUAUCAAUACAGGAACUGAGUUCUACCUACUUGGAAUUUUGCCCUGGGUAAAACAUUUCACCUUUCUGUUCUUCAGAUAUUUUUAAUUCAUAAAAUUGAAACUCUAUCAAAAUAUUGGUAAACCUUAUGAAACAUUAUUUUUCAUAUCAGGUUUCGCUAAUUGAAUGUAAGUUCCCUGAAGGCAGGAACUCAUUUUUUUCACCUCUGUAUACACUGUGCCCAGAACUGUGGCUGGCAUAUAGCAGAUUUGUAAUUAUUUAUUGAAUUAUUUAAUAAACAAGGGUAUUAAAACACUGUGAGUGGGCUGGGGCUGUAGUUCAGUGGUAGAGCGCUUGCCUAGCACAUGCGAGGCCCUGGGUUUGAUCCUCAGCACCACAUAAAAAUAAAUAAAAUAAAGGUAUUGUGUCCAUCUACAACUAAAAAAUAAAUAUUAAAAACAAAACAAAUUAAAAAAAAAACCUGUGAGUAAUGGCCAACAUUGUACACAAUAAGUAUUCUAUAAGUAGAAAAGGCAAAUAAUGUCAAAUGUUUAUUUUUUUUUUAAUUCAAUUGAAUGGAAAUGGCCUCUGCAAUGGAACCCACAAGUUCAAUUUGGGACAAUUUUAGUACCUUAAGGUGAAAACAAUUAUACUGUAGGGAUUAGAAGAUCAUAUGUAUAUAUAUACACAUAUGUAUGUAUGUAUAAAUAAUUUAUGUGUAUAAAUAAUUUAUGUGUAUAAAAUUUCUUUCAAGGUGCUUCUUUUAUAAGCAUUUCAAAAGUAAAGCAUAUGAAGUAUUUAUAAUUUUUGUUGUUUUUAGUAAAUGUUCCAUGAAGUUCUUUUUCUUCCUUUUUUUUUUCCUGUCAGGAUAAUGUGUCUAGUUAUCACCAAAUCUGAUCAGAGCUUAAAUCUACUUUAUGUAUGCUCCCCAUCCCCACUAUAGUGGAAGGAUAGGAAUACAGGAGGGGAUUCUUCAGAGGAUGCAGAAGUUGCCACAAAUAGCAAGCCUGAACAGUAUUGAUUUCUUUGAAGUGUCCCUCCUGAUGUCUCUUAAUAAUCAAGCACUGUCGAUUGACUACUGCAAAUUGAAUUUUCCUUGUUGACACUUCAGGUUUUUAAUUUUGUAAAUGCAGAAACCAGAACAAAAUAAAUGAGACUUUGCUGCAUUUAAAAUCAAUACCAGUUAUAUCAGUCAUUAAAAGAACACAACACACACACACACACACACACACACAGUGUGUCUUAUCUCUGUAGUUAGAAUUUCUGGUCCCCUGUCUCUACAUCUACAUGGACUGCAUCAUCCCCUCUCUCUCUCUGAGGUAUGGCCCUACUCUUCCCUACUUCUAGAAACCCUCAUUUUUCCUUCCAUAGCAGACAGUUAAUGAAUGUUCAUCACCUAGUGCCCUGAUUUUAGCUCUCCAGCAUCCACAAGCAGACAUGAGUAUCCAAAAACGAAAAAUUAUAAAACAAUUUGAAUUGUAUAUUUAACAUAAUUAUAUGAAAAAUAUAAACACCUAAUUAAUGUGUUAGUCACUGUUAUUAGUUUAAUAAUGUUCACAAGGUAGCUGACAGUGACAAUGUGGGCUACAGAAUUUAUAGUUCAAAUUUAGAAGGAGAGUGGAAAUCCUUUCCUUUACUGAUAUGUAUUAUAAGUCCUUCCUUCCCUUCUGUCUGAUGGGUUAAUUAAUGUUACAUGCCUGUUUCUGGGCAAUUAUUGGCAGGCAGAAUACCAUCUGCUACUUAGUUUACACUAAUUAGGAUAUUCUUAUGAAACUGGGCAUGGAGUAAAUACCUGAACAAAUUUGCAGUGAAUAAAAAACAGGUUAAACCAAAAGAAUUAGGAAUCUGAGUGAUAUUAUAUUUCUCAGCAGCAAAAUUGGAAGAUAAAACAGGCAGGAAUAAUAGUUUCAAAACAGUUAAGGUAAACAAUUUCUCACAUAAAAUUCUAUCUUCAUUCUAUGCUGAUUGAUAAAACAUGACAUAACAAUAAAUAAAAUUUCAACAUUUGCAAUUUCAAAAAUUUACUUCCUAGGUAAAAUUAUCAUGGAUUAAUUUGACAAUGUGUUCCACCAAAAUAAAUAUUAUACCAUGAACAAAAGAGAAACAGAAUUUAAGAAAUAGGGAAUCCACAUUAGACAGGCACCAAAGAAAGUUCUGGGAUAACAACAGUGCAGUAGGCCUACAGAAUAAGUAGUUCAAAUUAGAACAAAAUGCUCUAGGGCUUCAGCAAAGAGGACUCUAGGAAAAUAAAAAGGAUACAACUUUUGUAGAUUAAAUUUAUCUUGUGAAAGAGAAAUCUAGAGAUUUUUAAAUUUCAUGAAGGACUAAUAAAAAGCAAACAGAUGACUAAGAAAUAAAUGAAGACAGGAAUUAUUGCCUUUAGGAAAAAUAGAAUGUUGUAUAAGAGGAAAUAUGGUUGUAUUGUAAUACCUGAUCCUUCAGUGAAUAAAUUUAAUGGAAUGAUGAUAAAUAAUACACAGAUACUAUUGGGGCCUCUGAAUGGGUACAAUAAAUAGCCUUUUCUUUGUUUUCUACCUGGAUGCUGAACAAAUUUAGAAAUAAAGAAUAGCAUAUUAGAAACCAGAAUGUCAUUAUUUAUUACUUACAAAAAUAGAAGACAUAGUUUAAUGCAAAAGCAAAAUGGAUCUCUGACUGAAUUCCAGGAAGCUUUCCCCACCAGCCACAGCCAAAUAGGAUAAGGAAGGCCUCCUCCAUAGCAGAGCACAGUUGAAGGGGCAUGGUGCACUGAUGCUCUCUAUGGGCAGCUCAUUUGGAAGAGAAGGAAAGGAAAGCUGAAUAAAACAAUACUCCUUUCUUCAAUUUCUUGAAUUUCUAUUAAUACAUGUUCUGAUUUCUUCAUAACUGUUUUCUUACCUUUGCAUCCUUCAUGACCAAUAUGUUUUAUUUUAAGCUCUUUAUUAUGCAAAUUAGUAAAUACAUAAAAUUAGUCAAAAUAGAUUAGUUAAAUCCAUGAAAUAUUAUUGCAGCUUCAUGGCCAAUCUUGUUUCAUGUAUACUCCCUCUUUGACUUACUUUGAGAAAAUAUAUUUUAAAUGUAUCGACCAAUUUUCACUGUAAUUUUAUGUUAUUUAUUGUAUCUGAAAAGAGGAGGCAAUUCCUUAAAUAUGAUUAUAUCCUUGGAGGUAGUAUUUCACCUCAAAGAAUAGUAUAAAAAAUUGUUAUUUUAUACUAUGACAAACUAUACUGUUUUAUUAACAUUAAGUUCUUCUAUUAAAAGAAACAUGCCAAUAACAGUGAUUAAGACAUUAAUUAUUUGUUUAUAUUUUUAUAUUAUCAUGUGUAAAUAUAAUUUUUUUUUUUUUGUGUGUGUGUGUGUGUCAGGAUCAAACCCAGGAGCACUUAACACUGAGCAACAUCCCCAACAUUUAUAUAUUUAUUUAGAGACAGGAUGUCACUAAGUUGCUUAGAGCCUUGCUAAAUUGCUGAGGCCAACUUUGAACUUGUGAUCCUCCUGCCUCAACCACCUGAGCCACUGAGAUUACAGGUGUGUGUCACUGCAUGCAGCAUAAUUUAAGGUUUUUGUUUUGUUUUAUAGUGUUUCAUUUCUGAAUAUUCAUGUCUGCUUCUGAAUGCUUGAGAGCUGGAACCGAGGCACUAGGUGGUGAACAUUGCUGAACUGUCUGCUAUGGAAGAAGAAAUGAGGGUUUGUAGAAGUAGGGAGGAGUAGGGCCAAUACCUCAGAGAGCAGAGAGGAUGCAGUACAUGCAUAUGUAGAGACAAGGGGACCUGUCCUUAUCCUUUGCUUGCACAGCAGAAAUUCUAAUUACAGAGAUAAGACACCCAGUGUAUAUGUAAUGUUAAUUGUGUUCAUUUGAUGGCUGAUAUAACUGGUGUUGAUUUUAAAUGCAGACUUUAACCAGAUGCAGAUUUUAACCAGACUUAAGGAGAUACACAGGGAGAAGGACGGGGCAGUUAGAAGUGGGGUCUUUAAUAACCUCAACCGAGUUACUGAUCACACUAUUUCUAGAACCUAACCCUACUUCUAAAGUCUCUUUUAUUAAGACAAUUAAUGUAAUUAUGAUUUCAAUGGUCUGAGUGAGGAUUUUCUUUCUGUUUCAGCCUGAAACAUCCUGACUCUCUACAGUAUGUUUUUAAGAUUUUUCUCUUUAUCUUUAGUAUCCUAAACUUUUUAAAUGUCUCAUAGAUUCAGAUAGAAUUAGUCAUUUUUAUUUUUGCUAGGCAUUUGCCAGCCCCUUUCACUCUAGAAAUUCAUAUACUUCUAUUUUUAUGAAAUAAUUUAUUGUGUCUUUGAUAAUUGCUUCCUUUAUUUCCCUGUAUUUUCUCAUUCUGGACUGCCAUCAUAAACAGGUGAACAAGUCAGGUGAGUACUAUACAAUAAGAAUUUUUAAGUGACCUCCUAGCAGUUCCAUGAUGAAUUUUUAUCUUCAUAAAAUUGUAUGCAAAAUACUGUAUUAAUGUAAGUCUUCAUUUUUCUGAGAGGGAAUCUAAAGCUACUUUUUAUUCUUUUAUCAUUCCCUGAAGAUUUAAUCCUUGAAUGUGACAGAACUGUAAGCUUCCAAGAGACCAUAACUUUGAACUGCUGACUGGUUAAAAAUGAGGAGGAGGGAGCAAAAGAUAAGGUAAGUUCCUAUGAGUAGCUCCUGACAUUCUGUAUGACAUGAAUGGCUAUUAGAUUUGCUCCAUUUAAAAAAGAAAAAGAGAGUUAAAAGGUUAACCACCUAUUUGACUGAUUUGAAAUGCUGAAGCAAAAUAUCUCAUCUUUUUGUACAGUGAAUGGGCAGCUUUGCAGCUGUCAGUGGGAUAUUAUUCCAAAAUGAAUAUGAUUUGAGAUCUUACUUUAAAGAAAGAAGUGUAAGAAUUCUUAAUGGAAUUAAAUUAUCUUUGUGUGCCAAAGUCUCAUCUAAGGUUUUAUUAUGCUGUGAGAUGUGUCAUACGAUAAACAAUAUUCUAUGUAUGGCUAUGGAUUUACUUGAGAUUUAAUGAAAAAGAGAAAAUGAAACUGUUUUAAUGGAGAAUCUUUGCAAUUACUUUCCAAAAUAGCUUCUUAAAUUGCUCUGUUUUCAGAAUAUUUUUGGCAAAGCAAUAUAUUAUGGUAACUUCAAUAGUAGUUCUAAAAAUCCUUAAAAUCUUUUACUUUUUCUACCAUUUAAAAUUACUAUUAAGUUAAUGCUGGCAUCAUUCCAAACAAACCAUUUUUAAAUAGAUUUGCUUUAUAUAUUCCUUCUUAUAUGCUUAUUUCAUUAAAAUGCCAUGUUAAUGGGCUUGCAGCUGGUUUUAUAUUGGAACUGCUGUAACAAGAGCUCUGUAGUCAUUCCCAGAGCCAUUGUAUUACAGUAUUUAUAGAAGAAAGUAACUUCAUGAAUUAUUUUUUCCUGCAUAUUCAGUCUCUCUCUCCUUGUCCUGGCAUCCUAUUCUUCUCAGCUUAUAAACAUAUUCAGGUUCUACCAUUUAAAGACAACCCUUCUAAACUCCAUUUCUUCCUCCACUUACUGCUACAUCCCUUUCAUUGACUCACAGUCCAAUUGUUCCAAAAGUAUUCUUCUGUAUGUCCAUCAUAAAUAAGGGAGCAUAAGAUGGGUUAUAAGAUCCAAGAUUUCAACCUGGACUGAAGACUGAAGAGCUCAGAGCGGGAGUAGGUAAGAGAGUCAGAUUAGCCACUGAUGAGUUCUGGGCCUCAGCUUAUAAAUGUCUGGGUACAAAAAUAUGAAAAUGUGUUCAACAUUAUUAGACAUUAGCAAAAUAGAAAUGGUAACUGCAGUGAAAUACUCCUACACAUCUAGUAGAAUGUCUAUGAUUAUAAACAAAUCCAGCAAUAUGGAAUACUGGAGAAAAUGUAGAGCAAUCAAAACUUUUAUGCUUUGCUGUGGUAAUGUAAAAUGGUUCAGCAGCUUUGGAAAUAUAGGAAAUUUUAUAUAAAUCUUAAGCAUGGUUACUAUAGGGUAAGCAAUUCCCAUCAUACACAAGAAAUAUGAAACCUAAUGUAUAUAUAAGACUUGAACAUAAGUUUUCAUACCAAUUGUAUUCACAAAACUUAAUAAUUUGAAUGAUUAAAAUAGCCAUUAACAUGGGAAUGCAUGGUUUUUAAAAUACAGUUCUAUCUAGCAAAAAGAAGGAGUAAAUCACUGAGGCAUACAAAUCAUGGAAAAAUAUCAGAAAUGAUUUAUUAAGACAAGAAAACCACAGAAAAGUGAAGGUGUAUUAUUUCUAUGUAUGAAUUUUUAGAAUGUUCAAAAGUAAGUUACAUUAGACUUUACAUCAGAUUUUAGAGGGAGGAUAAAAAUAGAAUAGACUGAAGAGGCAUGACAAAAUUUUGGUGGUGAUGGGAAUAUUCUGUAUUUUGACUGGAAUAGGGGUUUGGAAUGUUUACAUAUUUGUCAGAGUUCAUAAAACUAUGCUAAAAAUCCAUGGACAUUAUUGUAUGUAAGUUAUAUAUACCAAGUAAUAUAAAAACUUAAUAAAACAAAGCAAACAUAAAACUAAAUACAACCACGUAGAGAAAGGAUUUUAAUUCCAUACAGGAGACUGCGAUAUCAAUAUGAGAUAGAAAUCAAAUAAGGGAAAUCUUUGGAGAAGGAGGUGUUUGUAAUUGUGUUUGCAAAAUGAAUUAGGAGAAGAGCCCCUUAACAUUGGAAGUGUGCAGUGGAAUUUUGUCUGAUUAGGAUUGGUCCAAAGGCAAUGAAAGAAGAGAAAUACUGACAAAUAUAAUGGAGAGAAAUGGAGACAAGCAUCGCCAACAAUUUCAAAGAGUUUUUAUCUAAAAGAAGCAAACAGAGAAAAAUUGGGAGGGACAAAAUCUGGUCUCCGCAUUUUUUUAAGAUAAAAGAUUGAUAUCAUAUUUGAUAUUGCAACUGCUAUUUAUGUUGCAGUGUUUAGUCAGUAUUGACAACAUGAAUAAUACUUAAUGAAUAUUUAAAUAAUAAAGGAAAGAAACUAAUAUGUGUUACCUGCCUGCAAGAAUUGACAGGAGAACAGAAUAAAAUUUUGUUUCUGCCUGGGAAAGUGCAAUAAGAGCAAGAAGAAAGAGGGUAAUUGUGGAAGUAGGAAAAAAUAAUGGAUAACCGAAAGCAAAAGUAAAUGACCUGAAUUUUACUAGUAUUUACUUUUGAACUGCGGUAUUGAACUUCAAUACUCUAGACUUUAUUGUGCAUUUUAAUUGUCCAUUUAUAAAACAAGGUUAGCACAUAAACCAAGUCCUUACUCAAGGCAGGCUAUGCUAAUCAAUUAUGGCACCACUUAUGUUUCAAAUUGGAUAGGGCCUUAACUCAUCUCUUCAAGAAGCAAUUACCAAACUAUUAAGAAGAGCAUGAAAAAAUAAAUUAUUUGUCACAUCUCUUCUAAAAGUUCCUAGUCCUAGGGCUAAACUAGCCUCCCAUCCUAUAUAUUUCUUUGGAGUAUAGUUACAUAUCAUAAAAGACUUUAGGUUCUUAAAAAGUGAAAGGUGAAUAUAUUCAAUAUAAAUGAUUAAUUUUGUAUUUUUGUUACUAGAAAAAGGAUAGAUGAGGAAAAUCCCUUUAUUUCUAGAAGGAAGGCAAGGCCAAUAAAGGCUGCAGAAUUAUAUAACAAUCCUUUAGAAUUCUCCUCCAAAUGAUGUGGAAUCUAUUUCCUACCAAAAGCUCAUAAUAAAUAUAUAAUAAAAUUUGACUCAGUGUCAGAGUACACGAUAUGUUUAAAGUGCUACCAGCUCUGUUUUGAAGAGAUAAUUAUCACCAGUAACUGUGACUACCUGAGAGCAGACUAUGUACCAGUAAGAUGUAACACCUUAUUGAAAAUAUUCUCUACUAUGCCACUAAUCCAAAAAUGGCAAAGGGGAGCAAUAGUUCAGAAUAAAUACAAAGAGUCCAUGUUAAAAAUUAAAAUAGGAAAAGAAGCAAAGUAAGGGAGGAAAUAGAAGAAAUGCAGAAGAAGGAAUAGUGAGAAAAGAAAAAAAUAGUAUAUGUCCCAUUUUAAAAACAAUAUAAGAUUGGAUAUAAGAUUGGAUUAAAGUUUGUGAUAACAAAUAAUGGGACAAUCAAUACAGAAGAUAAUAAAAUAUAAGUGAAAUAAAAACCUAAUAUUAAAAAGAUUACAAUAUUUUUGGCUCUAGUGCCUCCACAAAGACUUUGCUCCAUCCACCUCUGGCAUGAUCAUGGGCUGCUCUAAUAGUUCCCUGGUACCCUGGGUCACAAUGUGCCCUCUUGUGGCUGAGGGGAAAGGUUCUGGGGCAUCUCUGACCCAUGGCUAAAUCAAUUCUGGGCACCCUACCUACUGUUCUCUUCACACUGCUGGCAGCAACAGAACUGUUUCCAUCUUAAAAUUAAGAAAUCUUGGGCAUAAUUCAACAAACAUAAGAGGAUUUUUAACUGUAGAAAGAAGGCAGAACACAUAGGGACACAGGAAUUAGGUAACUAGAUGGAAGUUAGUUCCCUGGGUUUUCUUGUUGGCAUUUAAAUAUGUUAGAAAGGAUGCUGCAGAAGUUUUCAAUGUAGAACCACCAAUAGGCACAGACAAAAAUAUCUCCAAGUAAAGCCUGUUUGUCUUAACCAAAAUACCAGAGAAAGAAGGACCCAAGACAGCAGAAAUACUUUGGACACAUCCAUCCUAUUCCCAACAAACAUCAAUGGAAUAGUUUCCUCCAAAAUAUCCACAAAUAUGCAUAGUUUGUAGGACCAAAAAGAAAACCCAUCCUGCACUUACCCUUGGAUCUAUCGGAAACAGUAGUUUUUUGUCUUGCUUUAGGCAUCACCAAAAUUCUUGAGGAGAUGAUCUUUGGUCUCCUGGUUGGCAAAAGUAGUUGAUGGAGGUAGGUGACGCUACACUUCCCCCAGUGAGUGGAGUGCUGAUCUUGACUUGCCAAGGGGAAAUACCAGCAUCAUCAAUAGCAUUUAAAGGCACCCUGUUCUUUUAAACCCAUAUGGCAGCAAGGAAAUGUAAUGAGAGUAGAAUUAUUCACCACUGUACCUUACCCUCACUAUUUGGUGUCAGUGGGUCUUAACAGAUAGCUGAGCUUCUACUACCAUUGGAUAUUUAUGAGAUUUAUGAAGAAGUUCAAAUCAGGACUUGUUAGUGUUUCACUUUCUAAGUACCCCUGAAAUGAGUAUGAUCCAUUAGACAGGCAAACUGCUACACCUGUCCAGAAUUAACCAAGCAGAAUGAGGUGUUAAGAGAUAGGGUUGGUUUGUUCUACAAGUAUCCCUUCCCCUGGUAUCAGCUGAUCCCAAACAGGAUCUGAGUUUACACUCUUACUGAUUAGCCUCAAAACAGUAUGAGUAAUCUCUCUCCCCUUACUUCUCCCUGAGAAGAAUAAGAUGUAGUGGGGAUCUAUACUCUUACUUGGAGACAAGGUGAUGGUGUUAAUUGGUGCUUCAUUUUUAUUUUUGCUGAGAAGAUAAGUAUCAGCAGAGCUGAGUAGAGAGCUGAGCCUCCACCCCACCUGUGUGCAAUAAGUCAGACACUAAUUUGAUCAGGGUGGUAUGGGUAGGGCCCCUGCAAUAAUAAGAUGAAUCAUAAGAAAACUGAUACAAAUUUUAAAUCACCAAUCACAAAAAUACAAUAAACAGCAAUUGUUAAUUUUCUUUUUAAAAAAUCAACAACAAAUAGAUGACUAAAAUGUAAAUUAUAGAACUAGAAGACUGUAGAAUAAAAGAAAACUGGAUUAAUGAGCUUAUAUAUAGUGAAGAAGACAAGAAAAGAACCAAUCAACUUGAGGAAAGAUCAAUAGGGUUUCCCCAAUCUGAACAGAAAAAUAAAUAAAUUAGCAACCUAUGUAAUAAUAACAAGUUAACUUCCAUAUCCUCACUUGCUCAGAAGAAAAUUAAAGAAAAAGUCAGACUGAAAAAGUAUUUUAGGAAAUAAUAACAUAAGUCUAAUUACAUAUAAAGAAAGACCCAAACCUGUAGAUUCAGGAACUAGAGAGAAGUCUAAAUUAAAAAGCAAAAGAACAUCUAACACAGAUCAUAAUUUAUCUUUGCAAAUGUAUAGACAACAAUUCCUGAAGUAUGUUGGCAUAUGAUUCUAGGAACCUUGUGUAAUAAAGAUAUAAUAAUCAAGAGAGGGAUUAGAUUUCAGAGGAUGAUUCUCUGCUUACAUAAAGAGCCUGAGUGGCGAGAGAUGGCAGGACUGUUUGUGGUUAUUUCAGUUUGAAGUGAUUGGCUAGGAAUUCCUUAAUCAUCAAGUAUGAUAGCUCUCCUCUGACUGAUUUUUCCAAGGAAUGUUGAAACCAGAGAAAAAAUCCCUAAGCAGUUCAGUAUAUAAUGUCUGUAGAAUUUCCUCUAGUUUUGAUUUUUGAAAAUACCAAGUAAAUAUGACAAAGGAAUUCAAAGGUUUAAAUUACCCACAUACACCAAUACAGGCUAAUCAUAUUGUUAAUAUUCAUAAAUUGUUUAGUAUGGUACCAAGACUGAUGUGUGUUACAGAACCCUUUGGAAUAGGUAUGGAAGAAAACUUUAAGGAUAAAUUAUUUACCAGAACCAGUGUUAUACAAGGUUAUGGAGGAGAUGAUUUUACAUAGUUUGGAGGUGGUUCUCAUGUGGUUGAGUAUCAUUGAAAUAACUGAAUGCAUAUAUUAUAGGGGCAAAGAUGGAUGCAGUAAUAGAAUGGAGAAUUGUUAAGUAAAAGCAGACCACAGCCACAAAAUCUACAUGUAAUCCCUUAAUGGUACAUCCCAAAAGCCAAAUAUUAGAAUCCCAAAUCCAGCAUUUUUUACAUAGGAGCGACAUUGAGCACCCAUGUUUAUAUUUUUUGAAGAAGAAAUAAAGCCAAAAGGGAUUAUAACAACAUACCAGAGGAAGAAAAUGUUAUAUGAAGAAACAUAUAGCAAUCCUUUGUUUAAUACCAAUAUUUAAAGUAUUAUUUAACAAUAGAAAAUUCAUCGGGAUCUAGGAGAAAAUACCAGUUAAUGGUAUGUGGGUAGAAAGAAAAUACAAAAAAAAAUUGUAAGAGGUCUUCAAAAUUCAGAUAAUCUGCUCUUUAAAACAGAGAUCCUAAAAUCCAAUUAAGGAAAUUCUGGAUUAAAUAAGAAAUGAUUCAUUUUCUUAUGCCUUUCCAAUAAGAUUAAGGGAUGGAAGAAAGAAAAAGCAAUUAUAAAAUGGUUCUGUAUUUAUGUACACCUGUCUUCAAAUUUAUCCACUGUGCAAGUGUCUCCAAUGAGAAAGAAAGAGAAAUGGGCUAGAAAUAUGAGUGGAAAUUUUUACAAAGGGGAUUUGUAGAUGGAAAACAAGCAUAUAAAAACAUGUUCAACUAUAUCAACCAUAGGAGAAAUUCAAAUCAAAAUGCUAAUUGUAUAUCAUUAUACAUGCACCAGAAUAACUUAAAUAUAAAGUGAUAGCACUAAAUUCUAGUGAGAAUGCAGAGAAAUUAUAUCCCUUGUAGAUUGCUGGUGGGAAUUUAAAAUGGUACAACCAACUGGAAAGUCAUAUGAAAAUUUCUCACACAACUAAACAAUACAUUUAUAAGAUGACCUAAAACUUGUAUUCUUGGGUAUUAUUCCAGAAAGUUGGAAGAUCACAUUCACACUCAAAAUUUAUACAGGAAUGCCAUAUCAUCUUUAUUUUAAUCUUCUAAAAUUAGAAACAACAAAGAUAUCUAUGAUAAUUAAUUUAUGUGUCAACUUGUUUGGGUUAAUGAAUACUUAGAAACCUGGGAAUACUUCUGUGUGUGUCUAUGAACACAUUUCUAGAGGAGAUUGACAUGUUAGUUAACUGAGUGAAGAAAAUCAGCCAUUAAUGUAGGUGGGCACCAUUCUACUGGCUAGGUCCUUGAAUAGAAUGAGAGGGACAUUAUUAUUCCUAUGUGUGGUUAUGUUUGUGCAAUUAAUAUCCAUCAUGUAAAACCAGAGAAAUGAAAAGUUGUGCUCCAUUUGUGUAAAAAAUAAAAUAAAUUUUUAAAAAUGGAGAGAAAAGGAUUCCCAUAUCUUUUCGGGAAUAGCAACACUACUUCUCCUGACCUUCAACAUCAGUACUCCAGACUUUCUGGCUUUGGGACUCUAGGACUCAUACUAGCACCCUCAGGGUUGAUAGGCCUUAAGUUUCAGACUGAGAAUUAAUUAUACCUUUGACUUCUCUGGUUCUGAAAUUUUCAAACUUAGACUGAGCAAUGAUACUUGCAUCCCAGGGUCCACAGCUUUCAAAUAGCCUAUUUUAGGACAUCUUAGUGCUUAAAGCUGCCUAAGUCAAUUCCUUUAAUAGAUCUCUUAUUAUUUCUUCUUGCCUGACUGAUUAUCUAUCUAUCUUCUAUCUAUCAACCUAACUUUAUACUUUUGUUUUGUUUUUCUAGAGAAUUGUGGCUACAUAGUGUUCUUUAAUAAAUUAAUGAUUUAUCAAACCAAAUGGAUUAAUCAAUGAAUUAUUGAAGCAAACAAAAAAACUAUUAUUACACACAAAUUGAUUAGAUCACAGGAGAUUUAUUCUGAGUGAAAAAAGAAAGAUACAAAAUGGUUCCAAACUGAGUUAUUCCAUUUAUGUAACAUUUUUUUCUAAUGAAAAAAAUCAUAAAAAUCAUAAAGAAUAAAUUACUUGAUUUCAGGGAUGGAGAAGUGACUAGAGGUGACUAUGGUUAUAUAUAUGUAGCAAAAGGGUUCCUUGGAUGGAACUUUUCUGCAUAUUGACUAUAGUAGUAGUUACAGAAAAUGCUACACAUGAGAAAAUUCCACAGGACCAAACACAAGUACAUAUAAAAAUUUGUUAAUGUAAACCUGGUGAAAUAUUAGUAAGUUAAAUGAAUUGUGUCAAUAUCAAUUUCCUAAUGAAAAAGUAAUAUAUUUGUGGAAGACAUAACCAUUGGGGCAACUUGAGUGAAAGGAAUAAGGUAACUAAUUGGUGGAGAUUCAUUUUAAUGCUACUUAAAAUCAUAAUAUAUGCAAAUCUUGUAGAUGUACUCAAUAAUAUUGAUGACUCUCAAUUUUCACUGAGUGAAAGAACCAUACAAAAGUACAAAUUGUGAUUCCAUUUAUAUAAAACUCUAGAAAAUAUAAACUAAUCUACAGAUCCAGAAAGCUGAUCAGUGCUUGUAUGGCAAUGGACAGGGCUUGGGGAAGUGGUUUGAGGAAACUGUUUAGGUAAUGAUAAUGAUAAUAUUAUUUUUUUUAAUAAUGGUGAUGGUUUUACAGGUGAAAUGUUAAAUCUAAUUUAUUAUUUUAUGUGUAAUUUAUUACAUGUAAUUUAUUACAUGUCAAUUAUAUCUGAAUAAAGAUGUUCAAAAUAAAAACAGUCAUAUCCUAGGAGCAAAAUAUGAUGAAAAAUAUUGUUAACCAUUGGCAUAAAUGACAUAUUAAACUCUAAGUGGCCAAUGUUUUUAAAUGCUCACUCUUCAAUAGAAGAAUAAUAAUCAUGAAUUUAAGCAAGAAGUAAUAAUGGAUAGAAAAGCAAAAGGCACAAUCUAGUCAACUAAUAAAUCAUCCAUAUGGUGUUACAUUUAAUAUUUUUAAAAUAAACAUUGAACAAUUAAACAAGAAUAAAUUUACUUUUAAAGAUAUAAUUCAACUUCAUCAAAGUACAUGCAUAAAUCACGUAAAAAUUUAAACUCUCGUUUGCACUUUGAUUUACUGAUUUAAGCAUGAGCACAAAUAAACUCUUCAUGAAAUGACAGCACAUAAGAAAUUAAUUUCUUUUAUAUUAUUGCUUUUAUUUUACAAUCACCGUGCUAUCAAUGUUUAUUUAGAAACAGGUGUUUAAGUGCUAGAAUACAUGUGUCAUACAAGACCACAGAAUAGUGGCCUGAAAUGCACUGCAAGCCAUACUAGAUCUGAGGAACUUACUUUAGAAAGGAAAGCAGUAACUUAAUUACAUGAUAUCUAAGGUUAAUAGUAUAACAAGAAUUUCUCCACAUUAAUUCCCUCACAUAAUAUAUCUGAUAAUUAAGGGACAAGUGCUAAAAAUGUCCUUUUUGUACCUUAUAUAUACACAUUUAAAACUUAUUGGCAGGGCUGGGGUUGUGGCUCAGUGAUAGCACACUCGCCUAGCACGUGAGGCACUAAGUUCAAUCCUCCACACCACAUAAAAAUCAAUAAAUAAAAUAAAGGCUUUGUGUCCAACUAUAACUUAAAAAAACUUACUGAGUGCAGGCAUCUUUUAGAAAUUAAAACAAUAAAAGAUUUUUGAGGGGUGAGAAGAAUUUUCUAAGAGGCUAGAUGAAAAAAAGAGUAUAUAUUUCAUGACUCCAUUUUUAUAAACCUCUAGAAAAUGGAAACUGAUAGUGGCCACAAGCAAGACAGUAGUUACCUGGAGAUGGGGGUACAGGGAGGUGUAGGAGGGAGAUAUUGCCAAGAAGCAUGCUGUAGUUUGAAUAUGGUUUGGUCCACAGUAUAUUUGGUAUUGAAAGGUUGGAAGACAACUUUAAGAGGUGGGGCCUAGUGGGAGAUGAUCACCCCUCUAAUAAUCACCCCUCUGAAGAUACAAAUGCUCAUCAUGCUGAUUGUAGGACUGAAUUUGUUUCCAUGAGAGCAGAGAUGUUAUAAAGGAGCAAUUUUGACCAUUUCCUACUCUGUUUCUCUCUUUCCAUGUGAUUUACCUCUCACAUACACACACACAUACUUCCUUCAUCAUGUGAAGCCAUCAGCCCAUGUUAUGACAUAGCAGGAAGGCCCUCAUCGGAGGCCAACUAGGUGAGGCUGCCCAAUCUCAGACUUUCAGCUUCCAAAAUUGUGAAAUCUUUUUUUAAAAAAUAAAGUACCCAUCCCCAGGUAUUUUACUAUCACAAAAGGGACUAACAGCAUGUGGAAAUUUUAAGGAAUGAUGGAUAUAUUCACUCUUAUAAUUGUGAUUAGUAUGUGUGUGUGAUAAAACAUACGAACUUUAAAAAAAUAGUUGUAGGUGGACCCAAUACCUUUAUUUUAUUUAAUUAUUAUGUGAUGCUGAGGAUCAAACCCAGUGCCUCACAGAUGCCAGAACAAGUGCUCUACCACUGAGCCACAACCCCAGCCCACAUACAAACUUUUUAAUCAUGUACAGGUUCUUGUGCUUCAAUUAUAGUUCCAUAAAUUAAGCAUGAAACUCUUUUCAUGGAUGAAAACAACUUUGAAAAAGAUAAAGCUUAAAGACAUUUGUAGGAGGAGCCAUGUUGCUUAAAACUUCUCCAUGAACAAUGAAUGCUCCAUUUUCUUGCCAGCACAUGAGGCAGACCACUCCCAAUGGCUUACUCUACCCCAAAUUUCUUAAGUGGGCUGAUUGGUUCUGGAUUUGUUCUUUCAAUCACCAUUACUUUCCUAGGGAUGAUAGAGUGAGUUCUUUAGCCCUUCUGAGAGCCAUUAGUUGCUUACAUAAUAGGGUAUGGAGUAACAAACACCACUAUGAGGUCAGUGUUCCUCAGGUGACUCCUUGUAUAUUUUUUGAGAUACUGCCACUCACAUGCCUCACCUUAUACAGUUUCUGGAAAUCUACAUCUAAAGCCAUACACAAAUAGGGAGAAACAUGAAGUCCUUUUCGCCUUGCCUGUGGGAUCAAGUAUAAAGAGGAAGUUUGUCUUCAGUCCUCAGUCCUCACUUUGUCUUUAUCCUUCAAUGUGUGGAUAACAAUUUAUCUUUUGAACUCCAACUCCACAGAUCCCACAUCUCUCCCUUCUCAAACACCUACUUCUACCUUUUAUUUGUUCCCACUCCAGCAUCAGAGGCUCACAGAGAUACACAUCUUUUCACAUCAGAUUGAUUUUAUUUUCACAACCAUUAAUGUUAGUAACCUGUUGUAAAAUUUAGCCAUUUCUUAGCUGCCAGACCUCUGGACACUCUGCAGAUUAUUCUGAGGUCUCUGGCCCCACUCAAUUACUUGCUGUCCAGAUCAUCACUUGAAAUGCUGGAGGUUUCUGGGGUCUUUUCCAUUUCUGGCUCUCUAUUCAGUUUUUCAUUUAGCCGAUGAUAAUGACCAAAGAGUAUUGUUCCUUUAGUUUUCUUAGAUUUUUUCAGAGAUGUGGAAGGCUUUUCUGAGUCUCUUUUGCUUGAAUUAUUUUGAAGUGUUUUUUUACCCUUAUUGGUGGACUUUAGUAUCUGUAAGGACAACAGAGAGGCCAUAAGGGCAUUGGUUUGGGAAAAGAAGAUGGGAUAUACAUGUGAAGUAGGGGUUUGUGCCAGAUGAAAAAUAAAUAGGAGUCUUAGGUCGUGGGGAAUGAAUGCAGAAAGGAGAAGCUUGGGUUGGGUUAUCUUACCUUGCUGCCUCUUCUGCAUCUGGAGUGAUGAUAGGAAGUCUUCAUAUUCUUUUUUUCUUUCAUCGAUGAUGUUGACUGGGCCAUAUCUGCAUUAGGCUUCUGUGAUUUCUUGGUUGCCUUAGCCAUACUGAAGCCUCCAAGUGGUCUUCUGAAGAGCUGUAAGGAUCCUAUGCAUAUAUGCCCUCCCAAGACAAUGAAGGGCCACACCCUUCAGCCUUGAUUGGCCAGCAAGUUACUCCCCAGCCAAUGAGGACUAAGGAGGAGGUUAGACCUCACAAAGCACUAUCUCUGACACUUAUGUACAUGAAGAGGCUAGGGAGGUUGCUAGGGAAACCAUGCUAUAGCUUAGAUAUUGCAAAUCAACACUCUUGGCACUUCUGGGAUGUGGGGGAGAGGAGAUGCUAGGAAGGCAAAAAUGAUCUGGUUGGGCAAAGGAGACUUUUCUUUAAUAUACCUGAAAGAGCCACCCCACCCUAAUUCUUAUAUAGUGUUCAAUAGUGGUAGUACAGGUGGUAGAGAUCUUCCUCUACCAAAGUAUUCCCCAAAGCUACUCCUACAAACUCAUUCUGCUAUCUUUCCCUUAGCCAUUAGUUAGUAUUUUGGAUAAUGUACCUAAAAUCCAUCUAAAAGUAAUAUGGUUAUAUUUUUCUUUAAUUAUCAGAAGAUAUGUGAAUAAUUCUACAAACAAGACAUAUUCCCAUUAAUGAAUAUCAAUAUACUUACUGCAUUUGGCAUUAAAGGCUGCCAAUUUUUAAAAUUGUUUUCUUCCAGGCCUUCAACUUAUAGAAAAGGAAUAAAAUUAACUACCCACUGACGAAAUUGCAUUUUAUCCUUAUUUUUAUUCUAUUUUUGGAGCCUGGUCACAUUAUCAUCAUUGAGUUUUGCAAGAUUCCUUCUCUUUUAUUCAAAUUUUUCUUUCUUCUUAGAAUCUAGCACUAUUUCCCUUUUCAACAAUAGAAUUAUUAUUUUAUAUUUGAAUUCUGUCCUUGUAUAUGGCCUUGUUAAAUGUAUGUUUGAAUGUAUCAUAAUUGGUUUCUGUGUUUUUGUUGCCACCUAUAUCUCUGGUUCAUUGCUUCUAACGUUGCAACAUCCCAUUGACAUAGUACACCAACUUUCAUCCUCCAUUCACUUCCCCAUUUAAGAGACACCCAUGUUUGUUCUAUACUCUACUGACACAAAUGAUGAUAUAAUGAACAUCCAUAUUCAUGUUCCCUUGUGAACUUCUGAAUAUAUUUCUCUGAAAUAUAUUCAGGAAUAAAAAUUCAAGGUCAUAGAUACACAUAUUUUUCUUAGUUCAGGCUGCUAUAGCAGAAUACCAUAGAAUCUGUGACUUAACAACAGACAAUUCUGAAGGCUAGAACCAUGAGUCCAGGGUAGCAGCAUAGUCAGGUUCUAUUGAAGGUUGGCUUCCAGGUUACGUCUUCAUUUGCUUUCUUUGGUGGAUGCAUACAGAAGGAGAGAUUUAGGUGUCUUCCUCUUUUAAUAAGGGCAUUAAUCUGAGACACAGCCCUCAUGACCAAAUUUAAUUAUCUCCCAUCUCCAAUUACCAUCACAUUAAUGAUAAGGGUAUUAACAUGUGAAUUUUGGGAGGCACAUUCAGUCCAAAGCAAUAAUUUUACUAAAUAUUGCCACAUUGUUUUCUAGAAUAUAUCAGUCCACCUUCCCAACAGAAUUGUAUUUUCUGUUUCCCUACACAAUCAUCAAUUUUUUAUUUAGAAUGCAGCUUCUCAUAGGAUCUCAGUGAUCUUAACCAAUUGAUGUUUAUACCCUUGUGUAAUCCAGUUCAGUUGAAUGGCAUGAGUAUGGGCUGUAUCUAGAGAUUUGCUUCUAAUAGCUAAAAUCCUACAAAAGUAAUGGAAUGCCAUUAACAUCAUCAAUUUUAUCUUUGCUAGAACACUUUCUUGGUAGCAAUCUCUCUUGCACAUGUGCUUUCUCAUUUUUAUUAAAACAUAUUAUGAAAUGCUCAAUAAAGAGGCCCACAUUUUAAGGAAUACCUUAGGAGGAACUGAGUCCUUAGCAAAAUAAACUGCAGAGCACUGAAUCCAAAUAACAGCUACUUGAUUUAAUUAGGAAGAGGAUCCUUCCCAGUUGAGCCUUGGGAUAAUGCACCCUUAUAAAACAGACCCAGAGCUAGAGGACAACCAAUCUGAACCCAGAUUCUUGACUCAUAGAAACUAUGAGAUAAUUUCUUAUUAAUAAUAUUUCUCAGUUCUACAAAUAUCUCAGGGGUUCCCUCACAUGUGAAAUCUAGAAAAGAAAAGCCUAAAGGUAGCUGUAGGUUGUGAUUUUCGAUAUGUACCCAAGUGGACCUGCUAAUAGUUUAUUCCUGAAAUGUCCAAAUCCCUUAACAUAUGAAAGAGCUGAAUUCACCUUUCAUCUGUGAAAGGAGAAUGAAUCACAAGGGACUGAAUGAAUUUAACAAAUUCCUGUCACAUGCUGGGGAGAAGUGACUGAGGAACCAAAAGGGGGCUAUAUAUGUUCAAAAAAUUAAGCUAGAAUAAAGAAGAGUCUUCAUUCUGACUGGAGUGAAAUGAUAUCUUAGAGUAGUUUUGAUUGCAUUUUCUGAUUGCUAGAGAUGAUGAGCAUUUUUUCAUAUAUUUGUUGAUUGUUUAUCCUCUUCUUAAAAGCAGCAUACUACAGGGUCAUAGCCACAUCAAUGUUUAUAGCAGCACAAUUCACAAUAGCUAAACAGUGGACCCAACGUAGAUGCCCUUCAGUGGAUGAAUGGAUAAAAAAAAAUGUGUCAUAUAUACACAAUGGGAUAUUACUCAGCACUAAAAGAGAAUAAAAUCUUGGCAUUUGCAGGUAAAUGGAUGGCAUUGGAGAAGAUAAUGCUAAGUGAAUUUAGCCAAUCCCCCCAAACAAAUGCUGAAUGUUUUCUCUGAUAUAAGGAGGUUGACUCAUAGUGAGGUAGGGAGGGGGGGGAACAUGGGAUAAAUAGAUGAAUUCUAGAUAGGGAAGAGGGGAUGGAGGGAAAAGGAGGGGGCAGGGGAUUAGCAAGGAUGGUGGAAUGUGAUGAACAUCAUUAUCCAAAGUACAUAUAGGAACACACGAAUUGGGUGUCAACCUACUUUAUAUACAGAGAUAUGAAAAUUGUGGUAUAUGUGUGUAAUAAGAAUUUUAAUGCACAAAAAAACCCACAAAGUACAUGUAUAAAGAAAUGAAUUGGCAUGAAUAUACUUUAUAAAAGAUAUGAAAACUUGUGUUCUAUAUGUGCAAUAAGAAUUGUAAUACAUUCAGCUGCCAUGUAUUUUAAAAAAUAAAAUCAAUAAAAUUAGUCUUCCAAACAAUUGGCUGUGUCAGGUUUAUUUUCUUACAAAAUUUAGCCACUUAUAUUUUUUCCCCCAGCAACAUGAUCAUUUCAUUUUGGGUUUAUUGGAAUGCAUUUAUUUAAACAAUUUUAUUCUUAGUUUAAGUUUUACCCCUUUUGCCAUUGACAUCUUGCCAGUGGGUUUUUAUCUUCUCAAAGUUUUAAACUAAUCAUUUCUUAAUUUUGGAAAUUUUCUUUAUUUUUUAUUCCACUUUAUUCAUUGUCUUUAUUUCCCCCUAAAUUUCCUCUAUCUUUCUUGUAGAAUUUUCCUCUGAUUAAAUUGAAUACAUAGCUUAUUUUUUUCUAAUCCAAUUAUUUGAAGCACUAAAUUUCUCUCAAAAUUAUUAGCUAUAGUUACAAAUCCUUCCAUUUCUAAAUAGUGUUAUUAGUAUCUUAAUACUUUAAAACUAUUUCUUCUUUAAUCCAAGAAUUAUUUAGUAGUAUGAUGUUAGUUUCCAAGCAUAUUAGAUGUUUAAGCUAUCAUUAAAAUAUAUAUUUCUAAUUAUUUUACUGUUAAAUAACACUCUGUAGGAUCACGGCUCAAGUUUUUUGAGGCUUCCUUUGUGAAAUUGUACAUGGUCAAUUUUUGAGGCUGUUCUUUGAGUACUUGACAAUAAUAUGUAUUCUCUAUUUGCCCAGGAAACUUUGUCUAAAUACCAGUUUCAUUUAUUACAUAUAACAUUCAAAUGUUCUAUCUUUGUUUCCUUUUUUGCCUUUCACUUUUGAUUCCUAGUUGCCUGGUAUAAUUAUUUCCAUUUCUUUCUAUUCAUCUGCCAAUUUUCUAAUGAAUUCCUAAGUUUUGUCAGCAUUCAACCCCUUGCCCAAUGACUAUCCAGUAGGGUACAUGUGUGAACUUCACAAACGUGCCUGGUCUCCAUCUCAUGGUCCUAAAACCAACCUUCCCUGCAAAGCCCCAGAACACCUGCAAGCAUUAUGAAAAAAAUGUGAAUCUCUGGAGAUCUAAUAAGGAUAGGGGAAGCCCCCACAAAUUUGUACUUUUUGAAAGUAGAAAUAAAACAUUUGAGACUUCCGCUAGAUGGGAAAUUAUUAAUCAUAAUUCACUUGGCUUCAUUAUUACUCAGUGAGCUGUUGUGGAAAAGAAUGUGACUGGCUAUGCUCUCUAUCAAACAGUAGACAUAUAAUAGGAACUUCAUAAAUUCUUGGAUGAAUGAGUGAAUGGUUAUACAGAAAUAGAUUCUAACUGCAAAUUCAAAGAGAUACAAAUAAAGCAUGGAAAGUUUCUGGACAAGAAUUAACAACACCCUUUCACAGAUAAAAUACAAGUGUUUUGCUAUAUUUCUACGUGUUUUGCUUCAAAAAAUCUAAUUCCUCCUGCUAGUAAUUAGUGUAAAAUACAAUAGUGUCACUCUUAUCCUUAGUUUUGCUUUCCAAUGUUUCAGCUACCUGUAUCAACUGUGGCCCAAAAGUAUUUAAUGGAAAAUUAGUUCCACUCUGUCAUGAAUGGGACAUGAAUCAUCCCUUUAUCCAGCAUAUUCAGUCAUAUAUACUAACUGUUCCAUGCUGUAAUGGUUUGAUAUUUGAGGAUCAAGAAUUGCCCAUUGCAGAUGAUCCACCUUUAAUAACAGCCUGACACUACAUAAAAUGCCCUUGUCAUUCCUCACUUCUCAUCACAAAAGCAAUAUAUCAUCCUGCAUCACCAUAACAAGAGCAAGUACAGUACAAUAAGAUUCAUUGAGAAAGAAAUCACAUUCACAUAACUUUUAUUACAAUGUUGUUAUAAUUGUUCUAUUUUAGUAUGAUUGAUUCUUGUUAAUCUCUUAAUGUGCCUAAUUAAUUAAACUUUAUCAUGGAUAUAUGUAUGGGAAAAACAUAUAUGGGUUUGGGUAAUAUUUACAGUAUAAGGCAGUCAUUGGCAGUCUUGAAACAAAUCCUCCAAAGAUAAUGAGGGGACUAUUAUAAUGGCAUUUUAUUUUAUAUGUUUUAAAAUAAUCAUUCAAAAGUAAGCCUAUGGGCUGGGGUUGUGGCUCAGAGGUAGAGUGCUCACCUAGCAUGUGUGAGGCACUGGGUUCAAUUCUCAGCACCAUAUUAAUAUAUAUAUAUAUAUAUAUAUAUAUAUAUAUAUAUAUAUAUAUAUGCAUAUAAUAAAAACACUCAAUAUAUGUUUGCUAAAUACAUGAUAGAAUUCCUUUGGGACAUGUUAUUUCAAAGAAAUUUUAUAAAGUAGGCUAAUGUGUUCUGAAAACCCAGUGUCUUAUAGGAUGGCUAUAAAGAAAGAAUAUUUAGAGUUGCUGAACUUUAUCCACCCCAUAUUUACAAUUUGGUGAUUUUCAUAUCUGAACUAAGUUUUCAAAGCCCCAGAGAAAUUAAUAGUGAACUACUAAAUAAGUGAAAUAUUCUUUCUGCAUAUAAUGCCAAGAAAAGAGUCGCUAUGCAGUUGUCAAUAAUGACAUGACAGAAUGAUGGAUAUUUCUUAUUAUUUGUGAAAAACAUGCAGUGUGUCACUGAUAAAACAAUUUUACAAUAUGGGAAUUUUGUCUCAUUAAUUAUAAACCUUUGAUUGACCAUAUACAUUUUCAAAAUCAAUGAAAAUGUUUUUUUCAUUUACAAACAGUAAUGUUGUGUUUUCAUGUUUUAGUUUGUAAUUAUUUACAUGCAUCACAAUUAAAUAAUUUUAGGGUUUUGUUGAUAGACCAGAUUGUCAAGCUCUUGUCUAUCUUUUAUAAACAACUAUAGAUAAAACUUUGUUAUAUUUUGCUGUAAGGACCACAUAAUGUUUAAGUAAACUUAAUUUUUUAUCCCUUUAAUUGAAUGAUUUUUUUUUUUGCUUUUCAUAAUUUGUUUUGCAAUUUAAUAAGUGGAAAUUGUUAUUUUAUAUAUAUUUUUAAAAAUUAAUCCAUUAGGGUACAGUUUCCAAUCUUAUCUGAAAGUGGAUUUAGUAAUCCUUUAUAUUAAACUCUGUUUUACAUAUAUUGAGGUAGUUUACAUUUUUUUUGAAUUUUUCCUUUUUGAUGACAAAUUGAUUAUAAUUGCAAACAAUAUUAAAGAUUAUAAACCCUUUAUUACCCAGCAUUUCCCUGUACUUUCAGACUUUAUCAUGUUUAAUACACUUUCAAUGACAACACACUAAAUAAGGGUUCAGUAGAUCACUGUCCAUGGGGGGUCAAUUAUGGACCACAGUCAUCUGGCUUUAUGAAUAAAAAUUUAUUGGAACAUAGUCCUGACCAUUUAUUUAUGUAUUCUUUAUGACUGAAUUUGUGCCAAAAAAGUAGAGAUUUGUACACCUACAAAUCUAAAGUAUUUAUUAUCUGAUCCUUUACAGAAAUGUUUGCUUAGCCAAAAUUUUACAAAUCAAAUCAGAAUACUGAAUAUCACAGAAGUUCAGUAACCUACUCCAGUUUAUAUUGCUGUAAAAGUGAUAGAGGUGAUAUUUACAUCCUGUCUCCUAGAUCCUAAGGGUCUUGCUUAUAACAUUUAAAAUGCAGCUUUAUUAUUUGAUAGUGCUGAAAUCACCCUCCCACCCCAACAAUGGUCCUUAUGUUUUAAUGUAUCACUUUUAAAAUACUGAUUAUAUCACUUUACUUUUACCUUUUAUGCAAAAAUAUUAAAAAGCAUGGAUUUACCUCUGUGUACCUAUUUGAAUAUAUCUCAUAGACUUCAUAUUAACUGCAUUGAUUCCCUUUGUAUUUAAUGUAAUCUAUAAUUUUUCAUUUAUUUUUCCUUUGAACUAAUUAUUUUUUGUGAACAUAUCUUGAUUUUUUAAGUUGUUAAAUUUAUUUCUUACUAAAAUAUAGAUUGGAAUUUUAAAUUAUUUGAUAUCAUAUCUUCUCAGUGUGAGUAUAUAGUUUUUAAAGUACAAAGAUUAGAUAUUACUGUCUAUAUCAUAUAUAAUUUAUUAAGUUGACAUUCUUAUUAAAAUAUAACAGCAUUAGAGAAAAAUACACAAAUAUUAAAGUACAGAUAAAAAAUUACCAGAAAGUGAAAACGUGUUUGUUUGCUUUACCUAGGUAAAAUACAGAAGACAGUGAUCUCUUUAAAAUUACCAUGGAGGCCCAAUUACUAAUAUAUCAGCCCAUUAUGCUUUUUAUUUGCUUUUCCCUAAUGAGUAUCAAUAUUGAACAUCAUUUUAGUCACUUAUUUUCCAUCAGUAUAUCAUCUUUGAAAAGUAUAUUUUCUCUAAUUGAUUUUCCCUAGAGUUUAAGAGUUUGUAUGGCCUAGAUCCUAGUCCUUUAUCAGAUAUGUACUUUGUAAAGUUUUCAGUUGGUUAAAUAUGAUGAUGUCCAAUAAUCAAUCUUUCCUUUUAUGGAUUAUGGUUUUAUUAUCAAGUUUAAGAACUCUUCCUCCAGUCCUGUAUCUCAAAGUCUUUGUUACAUUUUUUCCCUGAAAAUUUUAUAGAUUUACAAUUCACAUAAGGUUUGUGGGCUAUUUUGAGUAACCUUGUAUAUGGAAUAAGAUAUAGAUCAAAAAUAUUUUUUUAAAAAAUUUGGGUGUCCAAUUGCUCUAGCACGAUUUGUUGAAAACACUAUUAUUAUUCCAUUAAAUUGUUUUCCAACUAUGUCAAAAUCAGUUGAACAUACUUGUAUGCAUCUAUUUCUGCAUUCUCUAUUUUGUUCCACUGAUUCACAGGUCUAUGUGCCUCUGGUACCACAAAGUAUUUAUUAAUGUGGUAUAUAUUAUUUUUUCUUUUUUUCAUUCUUUUUUAUUGACUUUUUUAAAAAAAUAAAUGUCAGCAGAAUGUAUUACAAUUCUUAUUACACAUAUACAGCACAAUUUUUCAUAUCUCUGGUUGUAUACAUAGUAUAUUCACACCAAUUUGUGUCUUCAUACCUGUACUUUAGAUAAUGAUGUCUAUAGGUCAACUGAUUCUUCGUAUUUUAUUAUUUAUUUUCAAAGUUGUUUUAACUAUCCCACUUCAUUUAUAUUUCCAUAUAUGUUUUCAAAGCAUUUUACUUAGAUCUAAUAAAAUCUUGCUGAAAUUUACCUAGAAAUUGCAUUUAAUCUGUACAUCAAUUUGGGGACAAUUGAAAUCUUUACUGUCAUUCUUUCAAUCCAAGAACUCUGUGUAUGUCUACAUUUAUUUAUAUCUUUUUAAAUUUUCUUUAAGCAGAAGUUUGAAAUACUAUACAAGUUUUUUUACAUUUAUACCCAUUUCAACCCAUUUUUCAUGAUUGUACAUGGAUUUGUAUUUUUAAUUUUUGUAUUCAUAUAUUCAAUGUAAGUGUGUAGGAAAACUAUUAUGUAUGUAUACCUUGUAUCUUAUGAUCUUGUUGAACACAUUUAUUAAUUGUAAGAUUUUUUUUAAUUCAUCCCUAAGAUUUUCUACACAAUCAUGUUAUAUGAAAACAGGAUAAUUUUCUUUCUUUCUGAUUUAUGUGUAUUUUACUAUCUUUUCUGGCCUAAUUGUACUGUCAGAAUCUUACAGUACUAUGCUAAAUAGAGUGUUGAGAGUAGAUAUCUAAUCUAGUUUUUUUUUAAAGAGAAAGAGAGAGAGAGAGAGAGAGAGAGAGAGAAUUUCAAUAUUUUUUUUUCAGUUUUUGGCGGACACAACAUCUUCGUUUAUAUGUGGUGCUGAGGAUGGAACCCGGGCCGCACGCAUGCCAGGCAAGCGUGCUACCAUUUGAGCCACAUCCCCAGCCCUCUAAUCUAGUUUUAUUCCCAAUGCCUGGGGGAAAGCAUUCAGUCUUUCACCAUCAGAAUGUAGUUGUAGGGUGCUCUUUAUCAAGAUGACAAAGUCACCCUCUAUUCAUAAUAUUUUAAAAAUUUUUAUCAUGAAUGUACAAUGAAUUUUGUCUGCAUUAAUUAAUAAGAUUAUGUGAUUUUAUACUAUAGCAUACUUAAAUAUUGCAAUAUAUUGCUUAAAUUUCAAAUGCUGAAGCAGGCUUGUAUCCCUGGAGUACCAUACUCAGUCAUGGUAUUUAAUUUGUUUCCCAUAUUUAUGGAUUACAUUUAUUAUCAUUUUGAUGAUAUUUUUUAUUUGUUCUAAUCAAUAAAAAUUUUUGUUUAUAUGAUCAUGAGGGAUAUUGAUCCAUAGAUUUGUUUUUAUAUAUUGUUUUGUCUGGUUUUGGUAUCUGAAUAAUUGUGAUUUUAUAGAAUAUUUUAGGAAGUAUUACCUCAUCUUUCAAUUUUUGAAGAAUUUGAGAAGGUUUGAUGUUAGUUCUUUCUUAUAUUUUUGCUAGUAUUUACCAGUGAAAUCAUCUAGUCCUGGGCAAUAAUUUUUGUGGAGGUUUUUGAUUACUAACUUAAUCACUUUACUUAUUAUUAUAGGUCUAUUAUUUUUUUUUUUUAUUUUUCACUAAUCAUUUUGGUAGCAUGUGAGUUUUUAGAAUUUAGUCCAUUUUGUCUUGGUUAUCUAAUCUGUUCAGGUUUAAAUAGUCAUAGUAUUUUCUUAUAAACCCUUUCAUUUAUGUAAGUUUGAUACUAUCAUCUCCAUCUUUAUUUCUUUUACUUUCUUUUCUCUUUUUUCUUUUCUGCCUCACCCUAGCAAUACUUAAAUACUUUUUACCACUGAGCUGUACCCUUGAUGCCCCCAUUUUUAUUUAUGAUUAUAGUAAUAAGAUACUCAUUUUUUUAGUCUAGCUAAAAGUUUGUCAAUCAUGUAGAUUAAAAUAAAACUUCUGGUUUGUUUAUCCUUUCUAGUGUUGUUCUAUCCUCCUUUUCAUUUAUUUCCACCCUGAUAUUUAUUAUUUUCUUCCUUCUAAUAGCUUUGGAUUUAACAUACUUUUGUUUUUCUAUUUCUUUAAGAUAUAAAGUUAGUUAUUAAUUUUGGAUAAUUUUCUUCAUUUCUGUUUUCAAUAAAGGCAUUUUCAGCUAUAAUUUUACAUUUGAAUGCUGCUUUCAAAAUAUCCCAUGUUUUGAUAUAUUUUGCUUUCAUUCAUCUCAAGCUAUUUUUUUAUUCUUUUUUGGAAAACAUUACAUAUGUACUUGAAAAGAAUGUGUAUUCUGCAGUUGUUGGGUGUAGUUGUUGAUAUGUCUAGCUGGUUUAUAAUAUUUUUAAUAUCCCUUAUUUCCUUAUUAGUCUCCUAUCUAGUUAUAUGUAUUAUUGGAAGUAGAAUACUUAAAUCUACAACUUUUUAAAUUGGUUCUUUUUAGUAAUACAUGACAAAAAAUCUACAACUGUAAUUGUAGAAUUGUCUAUUUCAUCCUUGAUCCUCUCAAUUUUUUUUUUGUACCAGGGAUUGAACCCACAGGUGCUUAACCACUGACCCACAUCCCCAGCCCCCCCCUUUUUUGUAUUUUAUUUAGAGACAGGAUCUUGCUGAGUUGCUUAGGGCCUCUCGUAUUUUAUUUAGAGACAGGAUCUUGCUGAGUUGCUUAGGGCCUCUCUAAGUUGUUGAGCUUAGCUUUGAAAUAGCAAUCCUCCUGCCUCAGCGUCCCAAAUUGCUGGGAUUACAGGCAUGUUGCCACCCUGCUCAACUCAAUUGUUUUUCAUGUAUUUUGAGGCUUUCUUGUUAAGUCUGUAUAUGUUUAUAAUUAUUACAUUGUCAUGAUGUAUUUUCCGUUUUAUCAAGACAUGUAAUGACAUCUGAAGAAAUAAAAUAUGUUUUUUGCUGUCUAUUCACAAUUAUUUACUUUGUCUAUUUUGUCCAAUAAUGAUUUAUUCUCAGCAUGCAAUACCUUUUCUGUUGUUUUACCUUCAGCCUGUGUGUUUCUCUAUGUCUGAAUUGAACAAUAUACAGUUGGAUUAUGUUUUUUAAUAUUUAUUAUUUUAGUUGUAAUUGUUAUGAAACCUUAAUUUUAUUUAUAUGUAUAUUUAUUUAUUUAAUGUCCUGCUAAGGAUAGAACCCAGGGCCUCACAUAUGCUAGGUGAGCGCUCUACCGCUGAGUUACAACCCCAGCCCCAGUUGAAUUAUGUUUUUAAACGCAUUGUGCCCAUAUCUGCUUUAUAAUUAGAGAUUAAUUCAACCUGUUAUAAUAUUCAAUUGAAGAAAUAUACUUGAAAACUAAAAACUAACUCUAAUGCAAAGUCAAUCAUACUGUCAAAUCAUAAAUGCCGUAUCUACCAAAUAUCAUUUAAAUAUAAAGCCUAAUUUUUAUUUGUGACUUACUUAAGUUUCAAGAGGUCAUUCUUUAAGGAACUGUUAAUAUGAACUAUUUUUUUUUUCUUUUUCUCUUAUGUAAGGUUGUUUAGAUGCUGGCAUUUUGGAAAAACACCAUGCCCAAGAUCUACAGGACAAAAUGCUGACAAAGAUAUGAUUUUAGAGUUAAGGAAUCUAAACAAAAGGAAGAAUUGCAAGAUGAGAGUUAGGGUUGCUGCAAGUCAAAAUACAAAAGUUAAUAUGCUGUAUUAUCAUUUUACUAUUAUGAUUUAUACACUUUUAAUUGUGGGGAUAUAUAGCAAAAUGUUUAUCAUAAAAUAUUUCAUGAAACAGAGUUAUAUUAAUCCAAAUAAAAUAAUUUGAAAAAUAAUUGGAAAGUUACAGAGCUAAGAUUGUAUAUCAAACAGAAAAUCAGGAAAAUAAAAAUAAAAUUAAUAUUCAUUAUACAAAAGUGAAAAUCAGCAUGUGAUGAAUAUAAAAACAUAAUCAAAAUAGGAAAAACAUAUUUAUAGGUAAUUGCUACAUAUAGCCUUCUUGUAUUUGUCAGUGUUCCUCACAGAAAAAAAAAUCUAUAGGAGAUAGAUAUUGAUAAUGAUAUAGAUAGAAAGGGAUUCAUUAUGAAGGAUUGCUCACAUGUUUAUAAAGUCUGACUGUUCCCAUGAUCUACCAACUGCAAGCUGAAGGCCCAGGAAAACCAGUAAUGUAGUUUAAAUUCACAAAGGAAACACAUAAUAUUUGGGGAGCAAAUAUUAUGGUCUAACACAAAUGAUUAUUAGUUUUACACCAAAGUUUACUCAUCAUAGUAGCAGUACUUGUUUUAUACUACUAUUAUCAGUAAUUGUAUUAUGAAGAGGAGAAGUACUUAUAUUUCCUGAUUCAUGACUUACUAGGCAUUCAAUUUCUAUGAGUCUUUUAGGUAUAUUAUAUAACCCUCAGGAAAAACUCAUGUUGCUGAAGCUUAUACUAACUCACCAACACAAAAUUGUCAUGAGGAUUGGUCACACAAUAUGUGUCAAUAUUUUCAUAACCUGAAUAUCAAAAAGAAAAUAGUAAUUAUAUUAGCACUAUGCAAUAUACUAUACUGAACAAUAAUAAUUAUGACAUCUUAAUUUUGUAUUCACAACCUACUUAAUUAAUAUUCACAACUUACUUCAUUAAUAUUCCCAUCCUACUUCAUUAAUAUUCCCAUUCAUAACCUGUAUAAAUAACAACAAGAAUAUGCUUUUUGCAUUUGUUCUAGCAAAUGUUCAUUGUCACUAUUGUUUUUCCUUAAAUCAAGCAUUCUCUAGUUUUUGGUGUUUCAUCAGAAGACUAGAAAAUAUUGCAAACUCUAAUGCAAAGUCAACCAUUAUAUGAGGGCAGAGUUUUUAGAACUGAAAGUGGAAACUUGAAAUUCAGUGAGUAUGAUGACAUAGAGUAUAAGUAUAUAGAAGUAUCAUUAUAGACAUAUCAUCCUCCACCUAGAAAUAAGUGAAGUAUAACAAUAACCAGUAGAUAUUUAACGAUGGAAAGAGAAAGGAAAGGUGAAAAAUCAGUUCUCAGAUGAGUAACCAAGAUAAUUUAUUAAAAUGUAUGGAAAUAGUAAAUCAGAAAAAUAGAGGAAACACUAAAAAAUUUCUAGAAAUAUAACUUUACUUUCCAAUCAUCAAUGCAGCAAAUAGCAUAAUCUUCCUGAAAAGCACAUGAAUACCAAUCAAAAGACAUGUAUAAUUGGUAUGUUAAUCAGGCCAGAAGUAAGUAUUAUAAUACAGUACUUGAUUUUUCUCAAAUUCAUUGAUUGCCUGUUUAUAAUUAACAAUUUCAAUAUUUUAUACAACUUUUUGAUAAUAUUCUUCAAAUGCUUACCCCCUAAUAUAAAUAGAUGAUGUUAAAAAAUAUACAUAUAUAUAAAAAGCAAAUGGAAGGGGGAUUUGCCACACCAGAUCCUAAAUGGUAUUACCAAUGGUUAUGGUAAACAAUACAAGGUAACUAUAACUUCCAAAGUCAAAAAGUUUCCUACAGUAAAAUUGAUAGGUUAUAACUGCACAUGAACUUAUUCUAUUUACUGAGCAAAAAUUAAAUUAAAUACUCACCUAAGAACUAAAGUAAAAUGUUUACAAAAUGCAAUUCACAGAUAAUUUUUGACAUAGUAAACCAAAACACCAUUUACCUGGAAUGCAUAUAUAUGGGAUACUAUUUAGGGAAUGCACCUGAUAUAUGAAUGCCCACAGAGUGCUAUAAUUUGUAGAGUAGCAUACACACACUUGUGUGCACACACACAUACACAUAAGCAGAAAAAUAAUUCAGCCAAAUUUAUUAUAGAUUAAUGAAUGUAAGAUCAAAACUCAAGAAUAUUUUAACUAUUAAGGAAUCAUGAAGCUAAUAUUAGCUAAAGGAGGGAUAUGAGAUAUAGAAAUUGCCUGGGUUGACUACUUUUGUUGGAGAGUAAUAGAAUUGUCUCCAAAAACUUGAUAAGGUAAGUCCAUUCCUUUCUAAUACUAUAUAUAUCAAUUCACACCAUUCAUUGCAGGACAGUGAAAAAAUCAGUCUCUAAAAAACACUAAUAUUACAUUUUCCCUGAAAUAUCACCAUCUUGAUAACCAUUACUUAUUCUCUACAUUUGAUAUUAACCAGUUGAAACCCAGCUAAAUGAAACUCAAAUAGAACAUAACAGAUAGCACUGGCUAGAGAGUAAACACCAAAUCAUAUGAUCAAGCUACAACACAAUUAUGAAAACUCUGGGCUAAAGAUUAAAACACUUAUGCAAUACUUAAAUAGAAAAGGAACACAUGAGAUGCACAAUAUAAAUUUUAAUCUGAAAUGGAAAUUUUAUGAAUGAUCUAGGGUUCUAAUCAGAAAGACUCAUUUAAUUAAUUCAUAUUAUACAUGUGCAUUAGUUUAAACAUAUGAUAUAUAUUUAUCUCAGCAUGGUAGUCACUGAAAAUUUUGGAAAGUCAAGCUCUGCACAGUAUGUUUUGAGAUGAAACAAAUGAAACAUACCCAAUGGGAUAUUAAUUCAGACAUGAGUCCACACAUUUGUAUGCACAUGGAAGAAUAACAUUGAAUGAUGAUCAUCAUAAACUUCAUAUUAAUUAAUGAAGUAAAUUCCUUAGGGAAGUAUCAAAUAUUUCCUUAUUGAUCAAGUUCUACUGAAAAUUAACAAUAUUUGAUUCAAAAAUUAAUAGAACAUUACAUAUUUAAAUGACUUGCUAUGUUUGACAAAUCAUUUAGGGCAGGGAAAUUUCCAACAUUUUAACAGGAUCCCCAGAAUUUACUACUAGCAUGAGUAAUACAGAUAUUAAGAGCAAUGUUAGUAGUAACUAACAAUAUGGAUGAUGAUAAUGAAAGUUAAAAAAGUGUAACAUUUUCUAAAUGGAUCCUUAGCUUGCAUGACAUAUUCUUGGGAAUUUCAUGAAAAAUAGCUUAUUUUACCAUCCCAUUGCCUGUAAAAUACUAAAAACUAAUGACACAAGUUUGUUGUGUGGUGAAAUUGGGUGACAUUAACUUUCUUAUGUACAUAUUUGAAUAUAACAGUUAAUCUCACCACUGUGUACAUCCACAAGAUUGGGAUCCUAAUUAGGAAAAUAAAUACCCCAUGCUUUUAUAAAUAUAUCAAAUAGAUUCUACUGUCAUGUAUAAAUAAAAAGAACAAAUAAAAAUUUUAUUUUAAAUCUGACCUCACAGGAAAAUAACAGAUACAGUUACAACAUGUUAAUUUACUAUUUACAAUCCACCUACCUAAGAGGAAGUAGAUUCUUCCAGUAAUUUUUGCUAUCAAAAAUUAAACACCAAUGUAAACUAUUUUCUUAACUAUAGAAAGACAUGCACAAAUGUACCCACAUACUAACUUAUUUAUAAAAAUAUUUAACUUUUUCUGUUUAGGGCUGAUGUAUGUUUGUCUGACCACAUGAAAGGUUUAAAUAUUAGGGUACAGUGCACUUAAUUUUGUCUCUGGAUAGCUCUGGAAGAAAGGAUAGUUUCAUAUAUUUUUAUAUGACAAGAAAUUAUGGAAACAGAACUCUAGAACUUUAAUAAAUAACUAAUAGGGAAAACUAUUUCAAUAUUUAGAAAAAUUUACUCACAUUGUACAUAAUAUAAAAAUAAAAGACAUUUAUCUCACAUUUGCAAAAGUUUCCCUUCUGCUAAAUGACAAAUAUAACAAUAUUAAACAGUCAUUGUUGACAUUGAUUUGAUUAUUAGUAACCUCUUAUUCUGAAGAUUACAGUAACCCAUUGUAGAUUAUUUCAUUUGAUUCUGACAUAUCCCAUAUUAUAAAAGGAUAUUAAUUUUAUAUUAUUAUUUCCAUUUAAAAUGUAAUUAGUCAAAAUGUAUUUUAAGUAUUAUUUAUACAUAUAAUUUUAUAUAUUAUUGACAUAUAUAUUUCAUGGUGAUUUAUUUCAAUGUUUCUAUACCUGUUAAAUCAAGUUAAUAAAAAUCAAAUAGUGAUAUAUUUCAAAGUAGAUUCAAUAAAAAAUAUCAAUCAAUGCUCAAAAUUUUAGUUUUCCAAUAUUCUUUCCUAUUAGUGAAGGUAAACACCCACUAUUGCAUUGUUCAAUAUUAAUGCCCAGUGACUGACUGGAAUAUAGGUGUCCAUCAAGAGCCAAUUUUAUCCAGUUGCAGCAAAGUUGCUCCAGGUGACAGAACUGGUAUUUGCAAACCUGGGCAAUAUUUAUUUACCUGCCAUAUAAAGACAAAACCUGAUGAAAAGCUUAUGGAUUUACCACCAAAAAGAAGGUAAUAAGGGUUUUGGUACUAACAGGAGAUAAAUUAUAAUAUGGACCCGUAAUAUGCACAUCUUAGAACCAUGGCAUUAAGGAAUAGAAAACUGUAAAUGGAGUAAAUGAAAAGAUAAAAUGCAGUUGGAUAAAUUUAAAUCUCAAAUAGAAAUAUCAAGAUUCCAUUUAGCAACAUUCAACUCUUUCUAUAAGCAGUAUUCAAGGUUCUCAGAAGUUAAUUUUCAAGGCCAUGUUGAAUAAAAUUCAUUAGGUAUAUUCUGGGAUUAAAAUGUGAUAUGAAUAGAAAACUAUAUAGUGAGAUAUUAUUAAAUAUCACUUUAUAAAUCACCACUAAUUUUAUUGUUUAAGGUAGGAAAUAUUUUUAUUUAAAACAUAGUUAGAAAUGAAUUCUAUAUAUCAUUUUUCUUUGAUUUUUCUAAGUCCAUCAAUCUCCAGAAGCACUAGUAGUCUCCACCCAUGAAAAUGUACAAAAUAAAUGCUAGUUAUAAUUAUGAUUUUAGUCAUAUUAGUGUCUUUUGAAAUUUUUAUCCCACUUUAGUCUCAGUUUCUUUUUUGUUUUCUUAUUUAUUUAUUUAUUUAUUUAUUUUGGUUUCUGUGCCCAUUUUUCUCCAUUUUCUUGCUGAAACAUUUUCUCAGAUGUCUCAUAAUCCUUGAUUUUCUGAUCAUGAUAAAGAACAGGGGGAUUAAAUGAUGUUAGGAAGUGUGGAUAUGAUUGUGCAACCUUGAGUGUAGUAUAAAGUAAAUUAAUGUUAUUCUUUUGUUUAGGAGUGCCACAUUUUAGUAUCUUUGUAUCAUUUUUCUUGUCUUAUGAACAUUCACUAGGAAAUAUUUUCUAAUCUCCUGUGUAAAUGAUAAAGAUUUAAGUGGUUUCCAGAGACCUGGCAGCAAAACUGGAUGAGAAGUGAGGAAGAAGUGACCUAGAAAUUCUCAGCAUUCAUCAUGUAAUGUGUGCAUGGUCCACAGUCAAUUAAUAUCUCUUCAACUGUGCCUGUUACUUCCUACUUCAGAGACCUAAUUUACCUUAUCUAGAAUGAACCAACAGGUGUCUACUGGAGUGUGAGAGAGUCAUUCCCUUCUACACGUACACUGGAUAAUUGAUCUAGAGAUUUGAUGGCACUCAAACUUGGAAGUGAUAAACACAUUUGUAUUGAUAUAUUGAAAUGAUUACCCAACUCUUUGGUUUAACCAUCUCUUUUGUACAGAAUUCUACAAGUACCUGUAGCUAACACUUCCUAAAUUUUUGAGGAUCUGUGAAUUAAAUCUAGUAGUUUUUUAGCUUUAUCCCAAAGCCUGUUUGAGAUUCAGUUUUCUUAGUUCUACUAAAUUAUCCCUAAUUCAUUUGCUUUCAACCUUGAAAAUGUUGUUCUAUUCUCUCCUGUUCUCUGUCCUUGUAGAUCCUAUUGGGGUUUCAGAGGAAUUGAAAUUAGAUGUGUAUAAUGAAUCUAUCAUCUUAUUAUCUUCUGUCUGCAGAGCAAACCAUUAGGGUUUAUACAUUUAGAAAAUGUAGAAUAGACUUCAUUGCAGAAAUUCAAAUAAAAACUACAUUUAAUUUGGAAAUAAAAUGCAUUUUAAUUCUUUAAAAAAUUAUAACAAAAUAUAGAUACAAUAAAAUAAGAUUUUUUUAUUGUUCCCAGUUUGACAAUUACCCUUUAAUGAAAUUUUGAAAGUCUAAAACAUUUAUUUUAUAUAAAGUUGAUACUUUUGACAUCAAAUACAGAGGCCUUUUUUCCUAUUCAGUAAGUUUGGAAAAUAAUUAGAAAACCUUUAAAACCCAUUCUGGCCAUAGGACAGUCAUUUUAAAUAAUCCCAAGUGAAGCAGGUAUGAAAAUUUCUGGGUAUUAAUGACAUUUUUUUUAACAGAAAUUGAGAUUGGCAUUGUUCAAAACCAAGAGAAAAAUGGAGUUAAAGGAACCUGGUUAUAUAGUGUGACUGAAUGGGACAAGGAGCACAAAUGUACACUAUCAAAAGGAAAUUGUGUUCUGUUGGAAUGAAAUGAGAUGGAAAGUAUAUU